rnacentral:lncRNA from 1 species
UUUUUUUUUUUUAAAUAUAUUUCUGCCAAUAAUUCCUUAAUCACAAUACAUCUCUGCCCAGAUGGUGGGGAGUAUUUCGUGUGUGGAUCCAAAUCAUAGGAGUUCAUGCACUUAAAGGACUCGAGUGUGGACCCAUUUACAAACUUACGUACUGUAAGCAACUUAAAUUAAGAUAAACAUACUUUUAAUGUUCAUAUCAAUAUCUCUUUGUAUUUUUAUUAAUUCUUAUUUCAUAUGUCUACACUACAAAUAGCCUCUAAUAUACUGAUUUCAAGCAUCAAAUUCAUUGUUAGGUAUUUCGAGUGCAAGCGGUUGGCAUAUUAAAGUAUCGAUUUUGGAUUUUCACUCCUCUUGAUUAUUAGGUACAUCUUCUUUCUAUAUAUAUAUAUAUAUAUAUAUAUAUAUAUAUGUAUAUAUAUAUAUAUAUUUUAAAAAGGCAUGUUGAUUUUCAAUUGUAAGAGAUUAGUAACAUAUCUUGAAUUUUGUUUUGUUUUUUGUUUUAUUUUCUAUUUGUUUUGUAUGAAGACAUAGGAUUUAAACAAGUACUUUCAUUGUUAUUUUUGUAGGAUUUUUUCUAGCAUGUUUGUUAAUUGAUUUUUGUGAUCAUAUACUACGAUGUUUGUUAAUUUGCCUUCAGGAAAAACAAUAAAAAACAAAAGGCACUGGAAAGUAAUGCGAUAUUAGAUAUAUCUGUAAAUUCAUUAGUUAAUUAAAACACUCUGGCCGUUUACUUAAUUAUAAUCUUUACGUAUUGUUAUACACAAACUUGAAUGCGAUAAAUCAUUUAUUUUUUUAUACUUAGUUAUCUUACUUCGCUAUCAUGCAGUGAUAAUAGAAAAUCAAUAAAUGCUGAUUUGCAUGGACAAAUCGAGUAGAAUGUUCAAACAAAAAAAAACAAAAAAAAGUUUCUGAAUAGUAGAAUAUUGUUUGAUACUAUUUACUGCACUUUUUAUUUAUUUUCAAGUUUUUGAAUAUUAUAGUAUUGUUGAAUAUUAUUUUUUCUAUUUUUGAAUUAUUAUUCACUGAAUUAGAUGUUCAAAUUUAUAUUAUAAGAAUACUUUACAUUACAAUGCGCACAUAGUAAUAUACUUAAGACAAAUUAUAAUAAAUUAUACAUUAAAUAUGUAUUUUAUAUUGACAUUUUUAUAAAUUGACUAAAGUUUAUUAUUUUUUGACGAUUUCCAUUCAACGAACGGGUACAAAACUAGUUUAUUGAUAAAGGAAAAUAGAUUGCUAGAUGUUUUUCUACUUAAUUAAAUAUGAAUAUAUAAUUCUAAAUUUAUGAUCAUUAUAAAAUUUUAAAUUAUAUAAAAGAAUAUUUAUAAAAAAAAGAAUAUCUACCAAGUUUUUAAAUGGGGUACAUUAUUUGAUGUAUACUAUCAUAUUAUAGUAAAAGUAUGUAAAUAAAUUUUUAAAAAUUAGUAAAUAAUUGAACUUUUAAUAUACAUUAAAUUUUUAAAAUUAAUAUGAAUGAACAUGUAGAACUAUUGUAAUUUUUAUAUUUAAAUUAUUGGUUUUUGUAUAAAUUCACAACAAAAAAAUGUUUUUAAAAUUAGUAAAUAAUUGAGCAUUUAAAAUUUUAGUAUUUAAGUAGUUUACCAUAUCCUAUAUGAGGUAAUUCUAAAAGUUUUAUCUACCCACUAUGUCGAAUAGUUUAAAACAGAAAAAUAAAAUUUUAUCAAACUAAAAUGAAUACACACAUCAUACAAAAUUGACACAUUACAUUGAGGUUUUUAUUUGUAAAUGACAGUUCUUAAACUUGCAUUGGAAAAAUCCAACAUUUAAUGAAAGAUUAAAUCAAUAUUCUUAUAUCGGGUUAGAGUUAUAUAUUACUAGGUCAUAAAAUUAAGAAACAUGUUAUUAUCGGACUAGUAAAUUGGAACCUAAGAACUAAGAAGACAUACACACAAAGAUAUAUAUCUAUACUAGUAAGGCCUGGCUGUGGCACAACCAGUGCCCACCUUGAAAUGCUUGAUGGAACGUUUGUGUAAUGCAGAGAAAUUGAAGGCAAAAGAGAGUAAAUUGAAGUAUUAACAUGAAGGAUCGACAAAUACAAGAUAACAGGUUUAAAACGUUGAAGUACAUUAAUGCAAAUGAUAAAGAGAUACAAGAUAAUUACAUUAAAACAGAAGUAGUUCAGUGUUGAAGAACAGAAGCAUUAUAUUGUUGGAAAUUAAUGCUAUGGAUGAUCAUUGUGAAGGUUUAUUGAAGUUUGCUGGUCAGCUGCGAGCUAUUCAACUUCGUAGCUUGUGACAAUGGUGAAUGCCGUUCCUUUGAUUGUUUUUUCUCUUGGAGCCGCUUUUUAACAAAACAGAGGAGUUUUUUUUCCUUGGAUUGCUUGUGUUAUAUGAUGAAGUAAAUUCAUAUUCUACUACAAUUAGAUAGGAACACAUUAAGAAGCAAAACAAAUUUAAUAUGUCCGUAGUUUGUAGUUGCUUUUCUUCGAUACCUGAUUGUUUAGUUCGCUUAGUUCAGCAGUUGGAAUGGACAUCAAUGUUUCAGCUUGUUCUCCCAAGGCAAUUGUAUCUAUUUAUCCUGUGGCAUCAACUAUGGCAAGUGCAAUGCAAGCUCUAUAUAUGCAAUUAGAUGUAUUAGCCAUUUAGUUAAUUUUUCAUUAAUGAUGAGGGAAAAAUUUUUAGAUGCAUUAAAAUAUAGUUUACUUGCCUAGGAGAGGGGUUGAUUUUCAUUCUGCAAUAUUGGCAAUUAAUGUCCAAGGUUCCUAUGAAGUCAGUGGGUUGAUCACAGUUAGGGCAUGCAAAAUAUCAGAAAGGAGCUUUUUGAUAGUUAAUUUGAGCUCGACCUUGAAUACCCUCUGGUCAACAUCAGGCAGAGUACGCAGAAUUAUCUUAUAGCUGGAUAAAUUAGGAACAUUGCUUAAGCUCCUAAAAAAUUUUGCAUAUGGAUUGUUUUCAAGAACAGUCAUAAUUUUUUUAAUUACAUUUUCUGAUAGUCUUGGACAGACAGCUUUACGGUUAGAAAGCUCAUUUUCAACAUCAUGAAAAUACAAUUGCAUGUUACUGCCUGGAUUGCUAGCAGGUGUCAAGUUGUUUAGAAAAUGAUACACUUGUCCUUGUACUUUAAAUGUAUACACUCCUUUGUUUCGUUUAGAAAGAUUCUUUUCACAUUUAACGCCAAAAGAUGUGAAUCCAAGGUGAUUAUUGUAAGUUCUAAUCAACUGCCUAAAUGUUUUUGCUUCGUCAGAUGACAAAGUUUAGAGUUCUCUCAAAACAUCUGGAAGCUUAUUCUGCGCGAGGACUAUAUCGCCGUUAGCACAGCAAAGGUUUGCUGUUUCUGAGUAAAACUUUUUAGCUCCACAAUGCGGACAGUCUUUUUGUUUUGGCAGAAUAUCAGGAGUGUCAACUAUAUAGUCUAACAACUGUCUUCCUUUCUUAGGAGUGCUUCCUAAAGUAAAACAAAAUAUAAUAACUAACUACAUUAGAAACUUUUAUAGUAAGAUAUUUUUUUAAUCAACAUAAAGUAAAAAAUAUUGACUAUAACCUGAACGUUUUCUUUUCUUUGGCAUAUGGUUUUGCUGUUGACAUGACGGUUGCAUUGCUUGAUCUUGCAAUGAUUGAUUUCACGUAUAAGAUCAUAAGAUCAUAAUUUUAGUAAAUAAAAUAUCAAGUAAAUGAUACAUUAAAGGUUUGAUGAGUCAUAAAAGGAAUUACCUUUAUUAUGGUUCAUAGGUGUAGCAAUGUUUUCAGAAUUUCUUGAUGGCUGGAUUAUACUGUCGCAUGUAGUUAUGCUUCUAGUACAAACAGCCUGAGUAGGCUGGACAGUUUCACUGCAACACUUUUUACAUUUCCAUCUAAUAUAAGCUUGUAGCCUAUUUUUAGCAAGCUCAACAUUUUCAUUGUUUACAGUUUGACAGGCAUUUUGCAGAUGCUCUCUAUCAAUAUUCGGUAGGGGAAUGUUGACUGGUUCAGUUGAAGAUUGUUUCUUCAUCUGAAAAUGAUAUAAACGCAGUCUUUUUGAUUUCCAUCUAAGGUAAGCCUACCUUCUGUAGUUUUUCUUUUCUCAAUGGUUACUUAAAUGCGGCAAGGAAUGUCUUGUAAAUUAGACAUCAGGGCAUAGCCGUGUGUAGUAGGCUCUUUGCCAUGCAGAACGAGAACAACAGUGAAUGAUGUAGGUAGUGAAGUUUUGAAAUUUUGGUCUUUGACUUGCAUGUUGUAAUUUCUUGAGAUUGAUUGGCAAAAAUUUUGCUUUCACAUCUUUUGUUAGCUGAGUCAACAAUUAUGCUAGCUUGUCUGAAUCCUUUUUUCUUUUCUUGUGAAUAUAAGAAUUUAACUAAUGACGAACAUACCUUCAAUUAUCUUAGUUAUGCAUUAAAGAGAUAAGCAAACAUCUUGGAGAUGAACAAAUAGCUUACACUACGCAGUUUGAAAAUUCAUUACCAGAGCUUCACAAUCAUAAGCAUAGAGUAUAUAUAAUUUAAUAAUAAGCAACUACAAAGGCUCAUGAAAAUUCGUAAAUGUGAAGCAUCAAGAAAGCCUAACAAGCAUUUUAUCAAACAUUAGGUAGGCUAGUUAGGAGUAAUAUGACUAACCGGGAAGUAAAGUAGCAGUGCAAGCCAAAAUCUUCAAUGAUGAAAGCAAUGCUGCAACGUAAAAAUGGAAAACAUGUAAAAGAAACUAUAUGUUACUACAAUAAGGUAUAAAUACGCAAUAUAUGAUGAAGGACAAACUAAGAAAAUUUGUAUUAUCAAGCGAUCAGAGAGUAAGAAAGUGAAGGAAGACUCGUUUCUGCUAUCUACGCAUGGAGGAGAAAUAAAGCAGAACAGCAGCUAUUGAUAAACAUAGUAGCAUGGACUGUGUCAUUCAAAGGUGCACUAUUCAAUCUCAACAAAUCCAGUACUUUGUUUUUGAAUCUAAUGGUUAUGAAAAGGUGAAAUACAACUGAUAACUUAUCAGAAGAUUGAUAUUUCUGUAAAGUACAACCUAACCCUUACAAAAAAGAGCAACUGUCUAAUCUGAUUAGGUGUAGAAUGGAGUGGUUGGAGAAAGCUUGUUUUUUUUUUUUACUUUGUUACAAGUAAACCAGAGUAAAAACUGGACAACCAACCAAUCUGUAAGUUGAUUUCUGGAAUACUCUUAACUGGAAUCGAUAACUUUCUGAAUUCCUUGAAUGGAAAUAAGUUGGAAGUAUAUUGAACUCUCAACUGGAAGUAUUCAACCUUUAACUGGCAUUGGCACUUUAAGAACCAAAGAUAUAAAUGAAUUAAAAUAGAAUUGAUAAUAAAAAAUAUAAUAUAUUAAGCGGAAGUUUUAGUUCAAUUGAAUAAUUUUAGAUGACAAUAAAAUAAAUAAAAUGUUGACCUUGGUCCCUAUCUUUUGAUGAUUACAAAACAAAUGGGUGUUGUUAACAUCUCCUCAAAGGUUUUUUCAGAAAUGAAACAAAUCAGAUUCAAAGAUUAAGCACAUUUGAAAAAGACAGAGUAUGCUGAACCUGUCGGACGCUCAAGAAGACAGUACCGAACGUCCGAUAAUCAUUGCACAACUUCGGACGCAUUCUUCGGACGUCCGAUAGGAUCUUUCGAAGUCAACAAAACUAUCGGACGCUGAAUAUGUCUCUACCGGACGUCCGAUAGAAACAAGAUAAUUUCUCAAAUCUCUUUGUUUGCUGUCGGACACACAAAAAGUUUGCACCGAACGUUCGAAAGAAUUGAAGAAAAUCUCUUAAACUCACUGUCUGCUUUUAGACGCAUAAAACAGGGCUAUCGGACGUCCGACACUCCAACGGCUAGUUGACUCUUCAGCUACUUUCUAUCCGUUGGAAGUAUUAUUGAGGCACUUUCUUGAUCCUAUAUAAAUAGUGGUUGGUCAGAUAUUUCAAACAACUUUGGCACACUGAAGAUACAAAAGAUCUAGAGAGAUUUUAAUGAGAAAAUACUCUUCAAAGAAGAUUUGUAGUCUUAGUGGUGUGAGGUUCUUUGUAAGCUUUUCAUUUGUGAGUGAAUACUUCAUGAGUGUAGCUCUUGUCCUGAGGGAUAGUAAAACGUCCUGACUUGACCGAGUGGAGUUCGGGGCAAGGAAGAGGUGAACCUUCCUUUGUACACAAGAGUGAUUGUAAUUCAUCAACUUGAAAUAACUUGUUUCAAUUAAUCUACAAUCUCAAGAGAAGUUGGGUAGUUAAUUGGUUUGCAAUCCUUUCCUUUUUAUUUACUUACUGUUACAUUUGUAAUAUUUGCAUUGUUUAUGUAUUUCACUUGGUUGUUUUCGAUCUUUACAAUUGGUAUCAGAGCUUGGUCUCCUAGAGAUUAAACUCAAUCGGUUUGGGAGUAAAAAUGACAACCAAUAAUGCUAUAUUUUUUGAAGGACAUUCUGUCAUUAGACCACCGAUGUUUAAUGGGUCAAAUUAUGUGAGUUGGAAAGAAAGAAUGAUUAUUUUUUUGCAAUCUAUUGAUAUUGAAUUGUGGUUUAUUAUUAGUGAAGGUCCAUAUGAUGCCUCUCUUAUAGAUGAAAAUACUCAUAGAUCUAGACCAAAAAUAAGAAGUGAACUGACUGCUAUAAAUAGAGCUCAUCUCACCUUAAAUGCAAAAGUCAUGAAUGUAUUAUAUUACGUUUUAGACUCAAAUGAAUAUAUUAGAGUCAAAGGCUGCAAGUCAGCCAAGAAAAUUUGGGAUAAAUUGAGAGAAAUUCAUGAAGGUAGUGAGAAUGUUAGAGAACAAAAGAAAUCCAUUCUAGUUACAAAGUAUGAAUCCUUCAAGAUGCAACAUCAUGAAAACAUUGAUGAGAUGUAUUGUAGAUUCAAUGACCUCAUUAAGAAUUUGGAGGUGCUGGAAAAAGAAUACUCUCUAGGUGAGAAAAAUAGAAAAAUCCUGAAUGUCUUGUCCAAUGAUUGGGAAAAUAAAAUGACUGCUAUUGAAGAGGCUAAAGAUUUGAAUACUAUGCCUAUUGAAUCUCUUAUUAAUUCUCUAACCUCUUAUGAGCUGAAACUUAAGUCCAAAGUGCAAGAGGAGGAGGAUGCGAAAGUAAGAAGGAGCAUUGCUCUAAAGGUAUCUCAAGAUGAAAAUGAUUCUACCUCCCUAAAUGAAAAAGAUGCAGAAGUUGAUGACAGUGAUCUUGCUCUCAUAACAAGAAGUUUCAAGAGGAUCCUUAACAAAAGGAGAUUCAGAAGAGGAGGAUCUAGCAAUUCAUAUUCUAAUCAAUUCAAUAAUGCAAGAAACAAAGAAAAGUAUGAGGCCAACAAAAAGCAAGAUGACAAAUGCUAUGAAUGUGGUCAGUUUGGACACUACAUGGGUGAGUGUCCAAUGAAGAAGAGAAAAGGUGAAAGAAAAUCAAGAUUCAACAACUUCUAGUUCACAUGGAAUGGGUGCAACUCGACGGUGAUAUUGAAGAGGAAGAAAAAUCUGUUCAAUUGGUUUUCAUGGCCAUUGGAGAUGAUGCGGUAACUUCUUCUAACUCUCAAUUUGAAAGUGAUGAUAAAAUUGAUGAUGAUCUUGAAUCUUUCAUUAUAAAACUGCAUGUUGAAAGAAUCUUAUGCUAGAAACAAGGAAUUAAAACAUAAAAUUAGCUUUCUUCUUCAGGACAAUGCACGUGUUUUUCAAAAAAAUAAAAGGUUGAAAACUGAAAGUGAUUUCUUAAAAAGGAGUGAGACUGUUUUACACUUUGAACUUGAUAGAAAAAUAAGUUUUUGUGAAAUGUUAAAAAAGGAACAAGAUGAUUUGAAAAGAAGGAUGGAUAAUUUAAAUGAGUUGCUCCAACAUAAAAAACAAAACUGUUUUCAAAGUAAUAAAUCAAAAUCUCAUUUUAAGAUAAAUUCUGCUGCAAAUGAAUUUGCUAUUUAUAAGAGAAGACAAGUAAGAUUUAUUAAACCUGUUCAUGUACAGAACUCUUUGGUUAUAUGUAAUUUUUGUUGUCAAAAAGGUCACAUGAAAAAUGAUUGUUAUGUGAGAAAUAAUUUGAGAAGAGGUAUGAAAUGCAUGUGGAUAGUUAGACAUGAUACUAACAAGUAGGAGAUAUUGUUAAGUUUGAUGAGAUUCUUGUUCAUAAUGCUCUUUUAUAAUUAUCUUUUGAUGUUUCUGAUGUUUUGAACUGAGUUUUUCCUCGAUAUUUUUAAAUUUUACUGAAUUUGUAUGAUAUCAAAAAAGAGGAAGAAAAAAUAAUAAUUUUGAACUUAUGAUGAUUUGCUAAACUUUCUGUCAUAUGUUGAUACCUCUUUUGAUAUCAAAUUCUCUGUGAUAUGUUGGUGAUUGCUGUCAUUUUUUUGUUCUUAUACUCUGUUAUUGUUGCUGGAUUAUGAUAAUUGAUUUUUUACUCUCAUCUUAUGAUGACAAAAGGGGAGAGAAAUGUAUGCUAUGUGUAAGGGGGAGUUAUUCUGAAUUCAUAAGUUUAGAUGCAUUGUGUGAGGGGGAGCUUAUGCUUAUAUGCUCAAUUUUUUUUUCCAUCCAUUGUUUUGUCAUCAUCAAAAAGGGGGAGAAUGUUGACCUUGGUCCCUAUCUUUUGAUGAUUACAAAACAAAUGGGUGUUGCUAACAUCUCCUCAAAGGCUUUUUCAGAAAUGAAACAAAUCAGAUUCAAAGAUUAAGCACAUUUGAAAAAGACAGAGUAUACUGAACCUGUCAGAUGCUCAAGAAGACAGUACCAGACGUCCGAUAAUCAUUGCACAAUUUCGGACGCAUCCUUCGGAUGUCCGAUAGGAUCCUUCGAAGUCAACAAAACUAUUGGACGCUGAAUAUGUCUUUACCGGACGUCCGAUAGAAACAAGAUAAUUUCUCAAAUCUCUUUGUUUGCUGUCGGACGCACAAAAAGCUUGCACUGGACGUCCGAAAGAAUUGAAAAAAAUAUCUUAAACUCACUGCCUGCUGUCGGACGCAUAAAACAGGGCUAUCGGACGUCCGACACUCCAGCGGCUAGUUGACUCUUCAACUACUUUCUAUCCGUUAGAAGCAUUAUUGAGACAUUUUCUUGAUCCUAUAUAAAUAGUGGUUUGUCAGAUAUUUCAAACAAAUUUUUUUUCACACUGAAGAUACAAAAGAUCUAGAGAGAUUUUAAUGAGAAAAUACUCUUCAAAGAAGAUUUAUAGUCUUAGUGGUGUAAGGUUCUUUUUAAGCUUUUCAUUUGUGAGUGAAUACUUUAUGAGUGUAAUUCUGUGAGGGUUGUCCUGAGGGAUAGUAAAAUGUUCUGACUUGACUGAGUGGAGUUCGGAGCAAGGAGGAGGUGAACUUUCCUUUGUACACAAGAGUAAUUGUAAUUCAUCAACUUGAAGUAGCUUGUUUCAAUUAAUCUACAAGCUCAAGAGGAGUUGGGUAGUUAAUUGGUUUGCAAUCCUUUCCUUUUUAUUUACUUACUGUUACAUUUGUAAUCUUUGCAUUGUUUAUGUAUUUCACUUGGUUGUCUUCGAUUCUUACAUAAAAAUACAAAAAAAUGUAGAUUAUAUUGCCAGAUUCCAUACUUUGUUUAUAAUAGAAAGACAAAUGUACAUUUACAUUACACUAAACAAAACUAAUAAUCUUAUUCUUUAUAAUAGGAUAGGAUAAACUUUAAAUAUUCUUUGUUUUUCAUUAAUUUUAAACGAUAACUUAUUUUGACAAAUAUAAUCUAUAUUUGUCAAAUAUAAGUUUAAAUGUCAAUGUAAAUAGUAGUAACUAUAAAUUGUAAUUGAAUUAUACCUAUUGAAAAUGUAGAGAUUGAAAAGCUUAUUUAUGAUAGGAUACAAUGAAUUUUAAAAAAUCUUUUGCUUCACAUUAACUUUAAAUGAUAAUUUAUUUGUUAUAAAUUUAAAAUAACUCAUUUUGACAAAUGUAAUCUAUAUUUGUCAGAUAUAAGGUUAAAUGUCAAUGUAAAUAGUAGUAACUAUAAAUUGUAAUUGAAUUAUACUUGUUGAAAAUGUAGAGAUUGAAAAGCUUAUUUAUGAUAGGAUACAAUAAAUUUUAAAAAUCUUUUGCUUCACAUUAACUUUAAAUGAUAAUUUACUUUAACAAAUAUAAUUUAAUUGAUUUAAAUGAUAAGGUUGGAAACUGGAAUAGAAAUAAUUAAAUCUUAUGUUAAUCUAUCUUCAAAUGUUAAUGUACAGCUGAUAUAAUUAUAUAAAUUGGAUAAUUGAAUUAUAUUAUAUCCGUUUAGAAUGUUCAGGUUAAAAAAUCAGCUAAAAAUGUAGAGGUUGAAAAGUUUGCUAAAAAGAAUGCAACUUUAUAAAGAAAUGUUAACAGCAAUCUAAUUUAAGUCAUUGAGCACAUCUAAAGGAAUGUUAUUAAUUUCAUAAGACAAUGUCAAGACUAUAGACAAAGCUGAAGAAAAAGCUCCAAAUUCAUCCAUUGUGCCAUGUGUCAGCACAAGAAGCUGCUACAGUAACAUUAGGCAUUUGCUUAUCUUAUAGUAAGGCAUAUGUAGACACACGUACAUACAUACGUAUUCAUACAUAUAUACACACACACAUAUGAGGUGUUGGGUAUUGGAUAUUGAGUUUUUAAGGAUCUCUUAUCAAACCCUAUUAGGUUACUUGUUGGUAACUCUUUGUCAAUAUCAAAGCGUGACGAACAUGUAAGACUUACCUCCUUUAGAGGCAAAUUAUGACCUACAUGAUUGAUUGAUAUUCUAAUUAAUUGAUUGACAAUUAAUUGGUAUCUCCCAUUAGGCAAUGAUUGGUGAUUGGUAUCCUGAUUAAUUGAUUGAUAUUUUGUUAAUAAUUAAUUAGUAUAUUCCAUUUGUUAGUGAUUGAUUGAUAUCUAUUGUUAAUUGAUAUCUUAUUCAAUCAGUUAAUCAAUCAAUUGGUCAGAAAAUAUGAAUUUCAGUUAUGAAUUUUGGCAAGAUUUCCUUGAUGGAAGGAAACCCUAGGGAUUUUUGUAUUUGCCAGUAAGGGUCCCUAGCCUAUCCUAUAAAUAGCCUGUAGUAUUCCAUCAAUUGUACACUUUUGGGUUAGGUAUAGGCUAGAAGAUCCUUACUCUAAAUUCUCUUUCUACUUUUCCUUCUUCUACAUAUUUUAUAUUGUUAGAAUAGACAAGGAGAAGUCAAAGAUACAAGAAGAGAUCAACUUGUGCUUGACAAUAAUGGUUAGAGGUAAGUAUAUUUAAAUUUCCACUGCAUAGUACAUUCACAUGUACAUAGUUAGUUUAACAUGUGGUAUCAGAGCCAACCUCUAACCAUGUUGUUUAGCUUAUAAUUUCAUGGUUUAUUGGCAAUCUGAUAAAUGUUUUAGAGAUUCGUAUCAAGUUUAAAUGAAUCAAAUUUAAUUUGCCAUGGGAUCUAUGGUUUAUUUUCUCAAUAAUUGAGAUUUAUUGACUAAUCCUAUGUAUAUGUAUCAUUCAUAUGAUACCUUAUUUGGUUAUGCAAUUCAUCCAGAUUUUCUCUAAUAAUCUGGUAUGAUUGCAAGUAAUUUGAAUGUUUCUUGGACUUACAUAUUUGUGAUUGUAAGAGUUAUAUGUAUUGAUUGUUAUUAUCAAUACAAUAUAACAAUUCGAGAAACAUAUAAAGAGUUGUUAUAUUCAACAAUCAAAAGAUUGAUAUCAUAUUAAUCUAUGCAAGAUAAUUGGUUGACUUUAUAUGAAUGGAUCUAGUGGUUUAUUGAAUCUUUGCUACCUUAUUAUGAGAUAAAUAUCUGAAGGUAUGAUUUCAAUAUGAGUUUGCCUCCAUGUUUCUAUUGUUAUUUGGAAUUAUGUAGUAUUUUGUGCACUACACUUAUGUUCAUUUAUCUCAUAUUAUAAGGUCAACAUUAGUAUGAUUGAUUACAUUUAAAUUUCAGAAAAUUUCCUUUAUAAAGUGUGUUUUGCAUCUCAAUUAUUUGAUGCAUGUACUAUUUUAAUCACAUAAAGGCUGGUGGUUAAAAAUGAAUAUAAGAAAAAAAAAGGAAAUUAUGAAAUUCUUUUGUCAAAAUACAGACUUUUGACUAUUUUGAUAUCCUUAAAAAGUCUAGUACACUUUAUGUUUGAGAGUAGCCAUAUCAUCUCAAACAUUGAUAUACUAUAAUUUUGAUCACAUAUGGUUUAGUGAUCAAAAUCAAUGAUUUUUUGGUCAAUAAAUUAACUACUGAUUUUCUAUGAAUUUUCAUUAAAAGUUUUCUUACAUCAUAUAUUUGGGAGUAGCCACAACAUUUCAAAUAUAUGGUGUAAAUAACUUUAAUCAUAUAAGAUUGAGUGAUUAUAAAAGGAAAGGAAAAUUCAAUGAAAUUCAGUCAAUAUAAAGUUUUUUGACUAUUGAUAAAAUACAAGAUGCCAUGUUAAGAAUUUCACUUUUACAUUACUAUUUGGGAAUAGCCAAAACAUCUCAAAUAUUUGAUGAGAAAAUUUUUUCAUCACAUAUAGUUUGGUGAUUGAAAUUAUGAAUUUUUAGUCAACAUAUUAACUAGUUGACAAUUUUUCUUAUAAUGCCGUAUACUUAGGAGUAGCUACAGCAUCUUAAGUAUAUUGGUGCUUGGAGAAAUUUUGCAUUUUUUUUUCACAUAUUGUUGAGUGAUUAAAGAAAUUUAAAAAAAAAAUUGGCAUCUAUAUCAAGUUGCAAUUAAUUCAUUGAGAUAGUUAUCCGGCCCCACAGGGAGGUAAUUAUUUUGAUGAGAUUAAUUGACAUAAGAUGGUAAAUUAGAUAGUCAAUUAAGAGAUAUUUCUAUGCCCACAGGUACGAAUUAUUUCUUUAAUUCAUUGUUCUAGAUUACUAAUCUUAUGAUUAAGUAAAGUAAAUUCUAUGCAUAUUUGCAACCUUUGUCCACAGAAAGGUUCGAAUUUACUAUUUGAAUUGACAUAAGGUUGAUUCAAAAUCAAGGUACAAAUUUUAUAGUUUUUUUUUGAUAUAGUUAUUGAUUGUUAAUUCAGUGUUUCAUUCUAAUGAUUUUAUGGUUCUUAUUAGCUUGAUUUUUAAAUUCAUUCUCUUUUGUUUUGGUGCAAGUUUUAAAUUAGCACUUCCAUGAAAAUGAACAAACCAUUCUCAUAAUGUGGAUAUAUUUGCUAAUAUAGAGGUUGAGUAUGAGAAUUAGAAGCAAUUUAAUAAUUUGCUCAUUUUGUCUCAUAUUCAUAUAAAAUAGGGUUCAAACCCUAAUUAUUUAAAGUUAAAUCUUGCAUGAAAGCCAUAAAAGAAAUUGUUGCAAGUUUUAACUAGCACCAUUAAAAGGCUUUCUUUUGUGACACUUAAAUAUUGAAGUGUAUUUUAGCUCAUUUCUUAGAGUUGAGAAUUUUGCUAUAUCAUUAAUUAAAGUCCCCUCAAAUUGAGAUUGAGUUAUUUCUAUCGCAUUUCAACCUUGAUUCUUUCAUGCAGAAUUUCUUAACCAUUUAAACCUUUAUAAUACACAUAAAGCUAUAUGGUUAAUUACUUGUUUUAACCAUGUGUAUUAAGAAAGGAUAAAGAUGUUAAGAAAUAAGAGAAACUUAACCUUCAUGAAAGAAGAAAUGGAAAGAAAGGUAUUUUUGUUCUCAUUAAAUCAAACAGCGAUAAAGACCAACGUUGUUUGUAAGAGAAUGAUAUUUGAUACUCUACUUUGAGAGAAAGUAACUCAAAAGAAAAUCUCAAUUGUUGAGUGUUAUAAAUUGUGAUAUAUUUGGUGAAUUGACUAAAACUGUCAAUUUACGCUGCCAGUAUAAUAAAUUUUUGAUUAUAUGAAAAGUGAAUAAAAGUUUCUUUGUAGAAACUAAAAAAAAAAUGUUCACAUAAAGAUAAGUGAUGUGUUAUUACUCAUUUAAGAAAAUUUGUUUUUUCAAAAAUAUUAUUUUCUUGUUACUUUAGAAUUUCUAUUUUCAAAUUAAUUACUAUUGGGUAUGAUUAUGAAUCUCAUUAUCCAGUAGUAGAUUUUGAAAAUAGUAAAGUUAUUAAUUCUAAAGUUUCUAGUACUAUCCUUUGAAUUGAGCAAUAAACUGCACUUGAUCAUAAUAAUUUUAUUGACAGCAAGUAUGUUUAUCACUGGAGAAGCUCCUUAAAUUUUGGCAUAAGAGAUUGAGAUACAUCUCUAUAAGGAAAUAAAAGAGUUGAUAAAUCAUAAAUCUUUAAAGAUUUUAGAUUUAUUGACUAUAAUAUUUCAGGUAGACUGCAUAAGUAAAGCAGACUAUUCAACCAUUAUGGAUGCCAUAAGAGUUUCUUUAUAACGCUAAAAUUUUGUGAAUUAUUUUCUAUCAUUUUUGAUUGGUGAGAGAUAUUUAUCUCACUAUUAGGUAACCAUUCAUCAAAUAUAAAGUUCCUUUCUUAUUUGAUAAAGGAUCAAUAUUUGAUACCUUUGUAAGUGUUCAAACAAGAAAGGAAAUUUGAAAUUUGAGAGAUAGAAAAUGAAGGCACACAAAAUUAGAGGACAAUCCUAUAUGUGCUCAUUUUACAAAUUCCUUAAUUAUGAAGCAUUGCUAAUGAGUAAAACAAUGCUUGAUUAGUUACAUCCAAAAUGAUGUAUCUUAAGGAAAUAAUGAGAUAGUUGUGGAUAUAGUAUUUUGACAAUCUUUAUAUCUUGUGAGUAAUGCCUUGAAAUUGAAGUAUAUACUUAAACAAUUUCCUCCAAUGUUGUUUAAACACCACUUUGAUUUUGGUAUGGAUGGAAAUUAAGUUUAAAAUAUUAUGUUCAGUUUUGUGAGGCUAAUCAACCUACACAUAAAUAAACUGUACAAAGGAAAUAAGGCUAUUUUACUUCAAGAAAUUUAGAUUCCUUUACACUUCAAGAAUUAUUAGAACUGGAGAUUUAAAUUUCUUAAGAACAUGAAGUAAGUGGGAGUGUUUUGACUCUCGAAUGGAGUUUUGAAAUGAUAAGGAUUCAUAUUGACUCCUUUGCAUAUGAAAAAUUGAUAGCUUUUCUCAAAAUAAUUAUUUAAUUAUUUUAGAUAAGCAAUCAAUUGAAAAACUCCUUGUCAAACAAACACAUAAAGAUAAAUCCACUUUUAACCUACUGGUUAAGUUAUCUUUGACGCAGUGGGAGGCAAAAUGUUUUCUAUAGAGAAUUGAAGUUCUCUGGUUACUAUGUUGUAUACCUACAAGAGUUUAAUGAUGAAUUGGGUAAUGUUUUCAUAAGGUGCAAAUGGAGAAAUCUCCAUAUUCAGGAAUAAUGUCACAAAUUACCACAAAAUCUCUACCAAGUUUGAGAGAUUUUAUUUAGGGUAAUUAUGACACUAAUAACUCACUAUUAGAGUUACAUUAAAUAUGAAAACAAAUAUCCUUAACGUGACUCUUGAUAAUUAGGUGUACACAUGUGUCACCAUAAUACAUUUGUAGAGAAUGCAAUUUCAAAUUUUUUCCCAAUGGUAUUCUUCAUUUGAUCUUAGAAGAAUUUUUUCUAGUAAAUUAAUAUACAUUAAGGUUAGUGGAAGUAAUACUAUGAGAGUUUUUCUCAAUCAUGAUAUUUGUGAAAUCUUUCUAUCAUUGAUAUUCACAAAAUAGAAUCUUAAGACGUUCAUGCAAGAAUUCUUUGAUUACUUUUAAGUAAUAAUAGUGAACAAUUGCAUAAUAUUCACAUCAUGCAUUGGAAUGAAUAUAAAUUCACCAAAGAUGCUAUGAAGUUAUACCACAGGCAUCUACUAUUUGGCAUAAAGUUUGUCGAUAUUGUAUUAUAGCCAUUAUAGUUAUUUGAUUUGACUAUUCCCUUUCAUUAUGUAUACAUGAAAGAGUGGGAGUCAAAAUAGGCAAGUCGACAUAAAGUAUACAAUAAUUAUUUGAAAAGCAAAAAGUAACUAUUGAGUAUACAGUAAAGAGUUAUUAUUAUUGAUCAAACAACUAAAGAUUGCCGGCUGAAUUGUCAAUGAUCAAAUAACUCACAUGGAACUCAAUAGUUCAUUUCGUAUUUUGCUUUUAUUCUCAAACUAUUGUUAUUGUCUAGACACUCGAGAUAUUUAUAUGAUUUUGUGCACAUUGUUGUUCAUGUAUAAAGUAAGGAUCAUGUGAUCCAUAAAGUUAGACAUUGAAUAACUUAUAUGAAGUUAUUCAUAAAGUUUUUAAAAAAGCACUUGAUUAGGAAGUAUAAUACAUUGUAAUACAUGGAAGGAAGUGUUUGCCAUGAGAGCAUAACCGUCAUGAUUCGUGUAUUAUUAUUUUCUAAUUAAGCAACUGUUACAUAACUGCUGAAUUUGGUGAGUGACAAACAAGAUUUAUGGCCAUUUUUUAACUAGUUAGUCACUCAUAAGUUAUCUGACUAUGGCAUGUGGGUCAAGUAGGAGAAUGCAAGACAUACCUCCUUUAGAGGCAAAUUAUGACCCAUUUGAUUGAUUGAUAUUCUAAUUAAUUGAUUGACAAUUAAUUGGUAUCUCCCAUUAGGCAAUGAUUGGUGAUUGGUAUCUUGAUUAAUUGAUUGACAUUUUGUCAAUAAUUAAUUAGUAUAUUCCAUUUGUUAGUGAUUGAUUGAUAUCUAUUGUUAAUUGAUAUUUUAUUCAAUCAGUUAAUCAAUCAACUGGUCAGAAAAUAUUAAUUUCAGUUAUGAAUUUUGGCAAGAUUUCCUUGAUAGAAGGAAACCCUAGGGAUUUUUGUAUUUGCCAGUAAGGGUCCCUAGCCUAUCCUAUAAAUAGCCUGUGGUAUUCCAUCAAUUGUAUACUUUUGGGUUAGGCAUAGGUUAGAAGAUCCUUACUCUAAAUUUUCUUUCUACUUUUCCUUCUUCUACAUAUUUUAUAUUGUUAGAAUAGACAAGGAGAAGUCAAAGAUACAAGAAGAGAUCAACUUGUGCUUGACAACAAUGGUUAGAGAUAAGUAUAUUUAAAUUUCCGCUGCGUAGUACAUUCACAUGUACAUAGUUAGUUUAACAGAACAAUCCAUCGAUUGUCUAAUCGAAUUAACCAUCUAGUACCCACGGAUAUCGGACUUGAACCUAUGCAUUGCCAUCCCUAUUAUUAUAAUUGUUAUCAUGCUUUAUAAACACAUAAUUAAAGAAAGCAUUCCACUCCUUUUAGUUUAUUUUAUCUUUUUUUCGUGAAAGGAAUGCAUUGCAGCUUAGAACUUUAGAUGCCCUAAUUUUUUAUGGAUUCCUAAAUUUUUCUGUUAUCAUGUAUUACUUGUUUCAUUUUUGAAGUGCAAUGAAUUAUCGUUUGUAUGCUUGCAGCUACUAGUACGUUUGCACGAAUUUUUGUUUGAAUUUCUUAUCUUUAAAUAUUACAUCCUGUUUUGUACUUUGUUUUAUUUCUUUGUGUUUUCCCUUUUGUGAUUAGCUUGAUCUGUAAAGCUUAAGAAGCUUGCGCUGCCAUGCCAGUACACCUUGUGGAUAAAUAAGGAAAAAUUUAUACCUUUCUCCUUGUUAAAUUAAGUGAUGUUAAAAUACAAAAAGUGAUCAAGUCAAGAAAUCAAUGAAGGGACUGUAUAUGCUUCCAUACAACUGUGAAAUGUAGUUAAAGAGAGGAAUCAAGUAGAUUUGGUUUAGCAUUCUUACUGAAUACUUCCGUAUUAGUAUUAAUUAAUAUUAAUUAUCAAGAAAUAGAAGACGCUUGGGUUCAAAUCCCCCAUUCUCUCUCCCCUGGCUUCUUAACUCCCAUUUGCUUGAAAAAUAAAAAAGAAAGAAUUGGGAUUAGUCCUAUACAGUGUAUAAAAGUCCCAAAGGGACAUGAGAGAAGCGAUCCAAAAUAUUUUCAACAACCGCAUAUUCGGUUUUUUCUGGAAAAGAUUCUCAAUAGCUGGAGUCAGCUAGACCAUGAGCUGAGGCAGAAUAGGGUUGCAAACGAGUCGAAUCGAAUCGAGUUUUGGGUUAAUCGAGCCAAGUCUCGACUAAAUUUUACCAAACUCGAACUCGAACUCGAGCUCGACAAGCCGGCAAUUUAAAGCUCGAGCUCGACUCGAAUCAAUUUGAGCCGAGCUCGAGUUCGAAAAAAAAUUAAUUAUUUUAUAUUUUUAAAAAAAUAAAUAAAAUAAUAUUUUUUUCUUAAUAAAUAAUAAAAUAUUAAGGAUAUAUAUGUAAUUUUUAUAUUAAAAUAAGAAAAUAAGAAAAAAAAAUAUAUAUAUACACUUAAAAUAAAUAUAUAUAUGCUCGAGCUCGCGAGCCUAACGAGUUUAAUAUUUUGACCUCGAGUUCGAGCUCGAUUUCGACUUGAGCCAGUUCGCGAGCGGCUUGAUUCGUUUACAGCCCACCUGCUCUCAGAUUUGUACAUCUAAGAGCUUGUUUUAUUAGUUGUCCAUUUUUUAUUGUCAAGUUGUUUAUUAAAGUGAGUUUUCUUGAAGUCAGUAGGAGACCGCCCUGUUUUUGUGCAUUACAGCUAAUGCAACGUGCUUAUAAUAGUCUAUAUAAUGCAACGUCCGUGAAGCUAUAUAAUAGUCUACAAAAGCACCGACGGACAUGAAACUUGGAGCAAGUAGAUUCGUUAAAAUUCUUAGAGCGCCAAUAUGUCCACAACUGCAUCCCUAGUCCCUUGCUCAAAAGAUCAAAAGCAAGAGGAACUAAUGCAAGAAUACUGCAAGAACCUGUUGUCAACCCUCCCCAGAGAGAGAUGGUUUGGUUCUUCUUAUCUGUACAAGUACAAUGGCUUUUGGCUCGGUCCUAAAGGGAUGCCGGGGCUCAUUGCAUGCCAAAACCAUUUCCAAGCUCGGGACACUGAUUUCCUACUAAUUACCACUCCCAAAUCAGGCACCACAUGGCUGAAGGCCCUUAUGUUCACCUUAGCCAACCGAAAGAUUUAUCCAAUCAACCAAAACCAUCCUUUGCUCAAGCAAAAUCCUCACUCUCUGGUGCCAUUCAUGGAAUUUUUUUGCUCACCAGAAAAAAUGAACCCUGACUUUUCUUGCCCAUUGGGAAGACUAUAUUCGACUCACUAUCCACUUACCCUACUGCCCCAGUCGGUGCUGAAUUCAGGUUGCAAGAUUGUCUACCUAUGCCGAAAUAUUAAGGAUACUUUCGUCUCAUAUUGGCACUUCUCCAGGAAGUUAGGGGCUGAAGCUUCACUCGAAGAGUUUUUCGACAUGUUUUGUGAGGGAGUGAGCCUUUCUGGACCAGUUUGGGAUCAUGUUUUAGGCUACUGGAGAGAAAGCUUGGAGAAGCCUGAAAAGGUCCUGUUUUUGAAGUUUGAAGCCCUGCAGGAAAAGCCAAGUUUUCAUCUGAAACUUUUAGCUGAGUUCAUGGGGUGUCCGAUUUCACCCGAGGAAGAGACAUGUGGUUUUGUUGAUGAGGUUUUGGGGCUUUGUAGCUUUGAUAACUUGAGCAAUUUGGAGGUGAACAAGAGCGGGACCCAGCCGACUGCUAGAAAUGAAAUGUUUUUUCGGAAAGGAAAGGUUGGAGAUUGGAAAAAUUAUUUGACAGGUGAGAUGGAAGAACGCAUUGAUCAUAUCACUGCCCAAAAGUUCUUCGGAUCUGGAUUGAGUCUAUAGGAUUGUGUAAAAGAUUCAAAAACCUAUUCGUUUGGAUCUGGAUUGAGUCUCUAGGUAUUGGCAUUCCUUAAUCCAAGCAUGGUUGUGUUGUUCCAAAUUUACAUGUGUGUGUUGUUGUUAUCACAUGUCUUGUAGUGUAAAUUACAAAUAUCAUAAAAAAUUAAUACUUGUUAUUGAUAUUAAAAAGUACUAGCGUUCUAUUGAGUAAUUCUUCAUCCUCCUCAGAACCUGUAUUUGUUGUUGAAUUCAAGCUAAAAACAAGCUUUGAGGUAAAUUGAGUCUUCAUCCAUCUCAAAGCUGCAAUUCAGAAAGUUUGCUCACUUUGCUCCUCCAAUAAAUGAUUUCUAAACUUUCUGUCCCCAAAUUAUGAGAAAGGUACUUUUGAUUUGUUGGCCUACUAAAAAUCUAACGGUACCAUAGUUUGUUGACGGCCAUUGUCACGCUGAAAAUAAGAUUUGGGGCUGUAUUUCUAGCUCUAAGUUAGUCGAGAUAAGUGUUAAAUUUGCAUAUUUUUAGUGUGCUUUAUCGAUUAGUUUUUGGUGUGUUUUAGUUAUUUUAAGAGCUAAGUAAUUUAGGUUUCUAGUUAUGAAAAACCUGAAGGGAGGUUUUUGAAAUUAGGGAGAAUUAGAGUUUUGGUCCCCAAUUUAUUACCAACGCGCGAAAUUAGUCCCCAAUCGAUUGCAUAUAACAAAUGUGGUCCCUAAUCUAUUCAAUUUUGCUCAAAAGUGGACAAUUGACGGGUUUUCAUCAUUUUUUGACGGAAAUAAGUCACGUGAGAGCAUGUGCCCGUACUUAAAAUCCUUUUUCCAUUUUUUUAGCGGGAAAAUUCAUAAAAAACUAUUUCCUGCUUUCUGGUGCCCUUAUUCCUAAUUAGCAAAGACAAAACUCAAUUAGCAAAUGGAGUUAAUUAUAUUAAUUAGUGAUAAGGACGCCAGGCUCGACCUGAGCGACCCAUUCCUUGGGCUCGUCUUCUUCCAUAAACACAACGAACUCUGUCCGGCCGCUGACAGAGGCGGGCGUGGUUUCGCCGCUGGAAAGCACUUUCAAUCUGGAUUCCAUUUCCCUCCCCCAGGGCCGCCUUGGCGUAGAAUUAGAGCUACCAGUAGCAGCAGCAGUAGCUCUAGCGUAGGAGAGGUGAUAGCGGCGGGAGACAGAGCCGGGUUCGGAAUUGGCGUAGUCAUCCCCGCGGUUAUUGUGGUGGUUGGAAGAGCCAGAACAGGGCUUGCAAUUCUUGUACGUACCCGAAGCCUUUAUUCCAAUGUCCCUGAUCUAAAACACAAUAAUAAUGCCUAAUGAUCAACAAAUGUAAAACUGGAAUGAAAAUAUUACUCCGUAGAGAAUUAUGUAGCAGAAUGAAAAAGGCAGAGUAAUGGAUGGACAUCAGACUACAGUACUUGAGAAGUGAGGGCUUUGAUGGCUUAUCUAGUGGAAGGAGUGGAAAUAGCGGCGGCGGCGGCGUCGUCGUCGUCGUCGUCAUCAUCAUGCUGGGGUUGGGGAAGAGAUGCGGCAUUGAGGUGUUGCUUAGAGCAAGCUAUACAAGUCAACAUUAUUUGCUGCUUGACUGGACCAGAGCUGCGCGCCGAGGAAUUGAGAAUGUAGAAUAGUUUUGCCUUUUGGGUGUGGGAUCUUCGCUAGUAAAUCAAAGUUUAGCUUUCGCCCCCGGGGUACCAGGGAAAAAGUGGGUCAGCAAACCAAUGGAGGAGUACAUGUACUCGGGAAUUUGAUCAGGGCAUGAUCAAGUGCGAAGAAAAAACGAGGAAAAUGACUCAACUUAUGUUAUGAAGCAUGAAGGGUCGGUUCAGAAAAUUGCAGUAGAAGUUGGAGAAGGAGAAGGUUGGAGAGAGAGAGAGAGAGGUAAGCGUUAGCUUCAUUUGCAGCAGGAUUCCUUCCAUUUAUUAUUCUCUCUAUUUUUUGUCUGUCUACUCGCCCUCCAUCACACUGCCUUGUUGGAUAUCAUCUUUCAUUAAAAAUCUAAAAGCGAAUCAAAUACUACUGGGAGGAGUUCAUAAUAACUAAAGAAUUGUAUACAUAAAGAAUUGUUUGAUGUGAUUCUUUACUUCUACUCCCACGGUGUUGACUACUUUAAAAGAGAAAAGAAAAUAAUAAUAAUAAUAAUAAUAAAUCAGAGCUAAUAGUAAUAAUAAUAAAUAAGGCAAUAAAAGAAGAAGAGAAUGUGAAAGGGAAAACAAAGAAGAGCGAAGAUGCAGAGAGAGAAAGAGACUAGUGUGAAAGAAAAGCUGUUGAGAUUUGUGGGGUUUUCAAUGCUCUCUCCGUGUGGUACUGGUGCAUAUAGUAGGGAGCAUUUCUGCAAGGAAAAGAUCAUAAGAGAGGCGGGCAACGGGUUUUGCUGCAACCUGCAACUUUCGAGUUUUUUCCGUCCGUUUUUGUCACAUUUUGGGUUUAAGUUUCUGAGAGAAACACUUCACAACCUCGUGGGGGCAUGGCCUCAUCUGGUUUUUUGUUCUCGUUUCUGGAGCCUAAAGAGAAAAAGGGGGGACAAUUAGUGUGUUUUGUCUUUGCUAAUUAGGAAUGGGGGCACCAGAAAGCAGGAAAUAGUUUUUUAUGAGUUUUUCUGCUUAAAAAAAUGGAAAAAGGAUUUUAAGUACAGGCACAUGCUUUCACGUGACUUAUUUCCGUCUAAAAAUGAUGAAAACCCGUCAAUUGUCCACUUUUGAGCAAAAUUGAAUAGAUUGGGGACCACAUUUGUUAUGUGCAAUCGAUUGGGGACUAGUUUCGCGCGUUGGUAAUAAAUUGGGGACCAAAACUCCAAUUCUCCCUUGAAAUUAUCCCUUUUGUACGUGCAUAUCAACGGAACAAGUACGUAUACUAGCACAUCUAAAGUGAGUACUAAACACUCAAACACGGGCACACAUACACACACAUUCUCAUUUGGUCAAAAGUAGGGGAUGCAAUUGAUUCGAAUGACUCGAUUCGAACUCGAUUCAAGUUCAAAAAUUUUUGCUAGAGAUUGAAUCUAAUCAAGUUUAAGAAAUAUAAAUUAAUAUAAUUUUAAACAAGAAAUAAAAUAGACAUUUUAUACAAAUAUAUAUAUACAUAUGAAAAUUAAUUGCAAUCGUCGAGUUUUCAAGUUUUAUAUAUUAGGCUUGGAGUUUAUUAGGUAUUUUGAAUUGCUCGAACUCGAUCAUUGCAAUUUGAACUUGAGCUUUGAAUGAACCUGCUGGUAAGCUACUCGAUUCAGGUGGAUUUAUUUGCACGUUUGUCUGUUACAAGUUUUUUAAAAACUUUAGUUAUAAUAAUCUUAAAAAAUUUCUCAAAAAUUUUAAAUUAUACAUUUCAAAAUAUUCAAAAAAAAAUACACUUCAAAAUUUUUUUAAAAAACUUCUACAAUAAAUUACAAUAAAAUUCUAGAUAAACAUUCAAAAAACUCAUCUUCCAAACAGGCCUCGGUCCAGUCAAAAACUUCACAUACAAACACGCAUAAACACACAUAGUUCCACGUGCACGUGUGAGAUGGACACACAAACACAAAGAUCCAAUCAUGCUUUUAUAGUUGCCAUCAUUUUUUUUCCAGUUUUUAUUCUGCCAUUUUUUCACCUUUUUUUUCCAUUUUCGAUCCCUAUCAUCAUCAUCAAUCUUUUCGCCGACUUCCACUUCUUUUUCAUCAAAACUCCUAUCCCAUACAAAAAACAAAAUUUAAAAAAAAAAAAAUUUACCCUUCGGGCUUCGUUGGCGGCUCUGGUGGCCCUCCAAAAAAGCCUACUUUUUUUGCUUGCUUUUUCGGACUUGGAUUUUGUAUGAUCAUCUAACCACCACCACAUCCAUGACAUGCAAAUAGUCAAUAUCAUAUUAUUAAUGUAAGUAAAUCGUUCCCCGUUCUCUUUAUUUCUACGGUUACAUGUAAAAAUGGCCUAAAAGAAUAUUUAAACCCGAAAAAAACGCCUUUUUGUCCAUUUUUUUUUGGGUCUGUUAGGCUAUAAGAAUACUUAGUUUGAUGGGUUUUUGGUGUUUUUAUGAUUUGUUUCAAAUUUUGAUGAAGGAAAUGGAUCUGGGCUGUGUUUAUUUCUUAAUCUUGACCACUUUUUUAAUGGUGGGUGCAGGUUGUUUUCUCGUUCUUUAGCAUCCAAUAUUGACUGUAUUGGUAGUAUCGAGACUUUUGACUUUUAGAGCGGCACUAGAAGAAGUUUGAUAACAGCUCAUUAUUGACUAUUUGUUGUAGAUUCUCAAAUAUGCAAAUAAAAAAAAAAUCUGCUAUAUUUGAGCCCUGCAAUUCUUUUCAAGAAGUACUUAAUGGAAGUAAUGAAACUCUUGUUUGUUGGAAUAGGAAGUUGGUUGUUUCCAAGAAGGAAAGAGAUAAGUGAAGUAUUGCAUCAAGAAGAAUCUUUUGCAGUUUAUUUUGUCUGUCUUUGAGAAUAGAAGAUAUGGGGAAGACCCGUUUGGGUUGUUAUUAGCUGUCUCUGAUUCUGCGGGAAUAAUUGGAAAGUAGUACGAUUCUUAUAGAAAAAGAAGGGAGAGGACAGGGGUGAUCAGAAAGAGAUUGAUUCUGGUUUGGAAAGAUUAUGCUGAAGAUAUUGAAACCUUCAUAAACAUGGGGUCAAUUUUGGAAGUUAAUUUCGGUUACGAAAUAGAGCAGAUACAGCAUCGUUCUUGCUUUUGAGAACUUGCAGUCUUUUUCCAGGAGUGAGAAUAGUUAUUAGAGAAGGGUAAUCUUCUGUUAAAUUUAAAAGAAAAAGACCGUUAAUCAUUUGAUUGUGUUUUUGGAAGAUGGGAUCAUUUCCUGGUCAUGUUCUUCCAGGAACGUUAUUUCUUCUUGUUGGAAUAUGGCAUACAUGGUGUUCUAUAGAACGAUACGUAUUGAAUCCGAAAUCUUUUCGUGUCAGGGUAUGGAAUCCUAUUCCCGGUUUUGAUGGGAAACUCAAGUAUUUGGAGCUGUAUGUUAUAACAAUUGGAUCUUUUAUUGAUAUGUGUAUAGAGCUGCUUUAUUCUACCCAUCUUAAGUGGUUUGUCAAUGGAAUGCUGAAUUCCGGACACAUGAAUAAUUUUGAGCAUGGUGGAAUGCUUCUCAUGUUUUUCAUCUUCGGCUUGAUCGCAUUGCUUUCUGAGAAGACAAGGUAAGUCAUUCUUUGCGGCAUUCUCCGCCUUUAGUCACAGAUUUUUUAUCAGUGUGUGUUUCAUGUUUUAGUAUUUACAUUUGUCGGCAUCUUUUCUUUUUGUUGCUGGGUGCCUGGAUCAAAUUCACUCUUGGUCUGCCAUGGUGAAUUAUUGACUUUUCAUCAGCCAAUUUAAGGAGAACUUAGGAUUUGAAUUUUUGUAAUAUAUUAUUUUUUCUUCUGAGAGAUGAGGUAUUUGUAAAAGACAUUGAAUAGGAUAACCUUUUUGGGGGCUGAUAAGUAGGGGAAAGUAAACUUUCCAUAAUGAUAUGCUUUGUGUGGUGAACAAGAGAAAGCAUGCUGAAGGAGAUGAAACUGAAUAGCUUAUAGCCUGACCCAUGUUUGCUUUUGCAUGUGCUCUCCUCCACACUCGUGUGGAUUUCAUAUAUGGACAGCCUAUUGUUUUGAAUGUUAGGUGAGAGCAUAAACUUGCCUUCAUGAUUAGAUGAGAUGCAACCCAUAGAAACAGAUAGAACAUAUCACACAUUUACAUUGCCACAUCAAAUUUUUAAUUCUAUUCUAGGAUGGUAAUUGCUGCUUUAUUUUUUGAAGUUUGCUGAUUAAUAAUUUUAGUGUUCUGGAGGCCAACUUGUGAUUAUUGUUUAAAAUACUCACAUUGCACUCCAUAACAGCUGAUAUCUUUCUUGUUUGGAAUUUUUGGUUCUCUUAAAAGGUAUUUUUAUAUGAGAAAUGUGAAUUGUCAGUCUUACAAAUGAUUAACACACACUUAAUUAGAAUAGAAGUUACAAUAUACUAUUUUAAAAGGACACUGCUAUUGUUUAACAUACCCAUCUGGUUGAAAUCAUCUUGUACACAGAAAAGGAUCUUUUACUCAUCCAGAAGGCUAAGGAUGAUGAGUUUGUAAUUUUGGACUUUGUUUCUAUAUAAUUGUAAAAUAGAAAAGAUGUUCAACCUAUUACGACAUGCUUUAAGGAGAAUAUAAAGUUCAUAUUCUUUUGGGACCAUAUGGCAUUUCAGGCAUUGGGUUACUUAUUAGUGACAUGGGUGUUCUCUGUGGUUGUAUCUUGGAAGUUAUGAAGGAGAUGUGCUUGAAGUAAAAAGUUUUCGGAGCUAAUCAGUAGAACAUACCUUGUGUUAAGGGUGUCCCUUUUGUUCUUAUUGAUUUUUCUUGGAAAGCAAAUCAUUUAUCUGAUAAGUUCAUAUAUUUAAAGAAGCCAUGUUAUGGAGUUUCAGAUUGUGACAUACAAAGCGUGUUCUGAUAACUUCUUGGGGCUUUAAUUUGCUAAAGCACAUCUAAGUUGUAUGCAUAUCUUCACUUGUAGAAUGUAUGUAUGCACAAUGUGUCUUUUAUCUGUUUUCCUUUAUGGGCAACAAGAUAUUCAAAUUGAGAAUACUUCAAAGAGUUGACUGAACUCUUUGCUGCUCUAUUCUCCAUUAUAAAGUAACAUGAAAUUUUGUUUUCCAGUUUGUAACCUUGAAUGCCUGCUCGAGAAUGUAGACCAAGUAUUGCUCUGGCUCUCUCUCUGUGUCUGUUUUUGAUGAUUGUUACACAUGUUUCCGUUAUUCUCAACGUAAUCCCUGUUGGUACUAAAUCCCACUUGUAUGUAAAGAAGGUCCAUUUAUAUUUGCAAUAUGGUCUUUGUGGCCAAGAAUUUGACAAACCAAGUAUCCUCUCCUGCCAGUUCGCGAGCGGCUUGAUUCGUUUACAGCCCACCUGCUCUCAGAUUUGUACAUCUAAGAGCUUGUUUUAUUAGUUGUCCAUUUUUUAUUGUCAAGUUGUUUAUUAAAGUGAGUUUUCUUGAAGUCAGUAGGAGACCGCCCUGUUUUUGUGCAUUACAGCUAAUGCAACGUGCUUAUAAUAGUCUAUAUAAUGCAACGUCCGUGAAGCUAUAUAAUAGUCUACAAAAGCACCGACGGACAUGAAACUUGGAGCAAGUAGAUUCGUUAAAAUUCUUAGAGCGCCAAUAUGUCCACAACUGCAUCCCUAGUCCCUUGCUCAAAAGAUCAAAAGCAAGAGGAACUAAUGCAAGAAUACUGCAAGAACCUGUUGUCAACCCUCCCCAGAGAGAGAUGGUUUGGUUCUUCUUAUCUGUACAAGUACAAUGGCUUUUGGCUCGGUCCUAAAGGGAUGCCGGGGCUCAUUGCAUGCCAAAACCAUUUCCAAGCUCGGGACACUGAUUUCCUACUAAUUACCACUCCCAAAUCAGGCACCACAUGGCUGAAGGCCCUUAUGUUCACCUUAGCCAACCGAAAGAUUUAUCCAAUCAACCAAAACCAUCCUUUGCUCAAGCAAAAUCCUCACUCUCUGGUGCCAUUCAUGGAAUUUUUUGCUCACCAGAAAAAUGAACCCUGACUUUUCUUGCCCAUUGGGAAGACUAUAUUCGACUCACUAUCCACUUACCCUACUGCCCCAGUCGGUGCUGAAUUCAGGUUGCAAGAUUGUCUACCUAUGCCGAAAUAUUAAGGAUACUUUCGUCUCAUAUUGGCACUUCUCCAGGAAGUUAGGGGCUGAAGCUUCACUCGAAGAGUUUUUCGACAUGUUUUGUGAGGGAGUGAGCCUUUCUGGACCAGUUUGGGAUCAUGUUUUAGGCUACUGGAGAGAAAGCUUGGAGAAGCCUGAAAAGGUCCUGUUUUUGAAGUUUGAAGCCCUGCAGGAAAAGCCAAGUUUUCAUCUGAAACUUUUAGCUGAGUUCAUGGGGUGUCCGAUUUCACCCGAGGAAGAGACAUGUGGUUUUGUUGAUGAGGUUUUGGGGCUUUGUAGCUUUGAUAACUUGAGCAAUUUGGAGGUGAACAAGAGCGGGACCCAGCCGACUGCUAGAAAUGAAAUGUUUUUUCGGAAAGGAAAGGUUGGAGAUUGGAAAAAUUAUUUGACAGGUGAGAUGGAAGAACGCAUUGAUCAUAUCACUGCCCAAAAGUUCUUCGGAUCUGGAUUGAGUCUAUAGGAUUGUGUAAAAGAUUCAAAAACCUAUUCGUUUGGAUCUGGAUUGAGUCUCUAGGUAUUGGCAUUCCUUAAUCCAAGCAUGGUUGUGUUGUUCCAAAUUUACAUGUGUGUGUUGUUGUUAUCACAUGUCUUGUAGUGUAAAUUACAAAUAUCAUAAAAAAUUAAUACUUGUUAUUGAUAUUAAAAAGUACUAGCGUUCUAUUGAGUAAUUCUUCAUCCUCCUCAGAACCUGUAUUUGUUGUUUUCAAGCUAAAAACAAGCUUUGAGGUAAAUUGAGUCUUCAUCCAUCUCAAAGCUGCAAUUCAGAAAGUUUGCUCACUUUGCUCCUCCAAUAAAUGAUUUCUAAACUUUCUGUCCCCAAAUUAUGAGAAAGGUACUUUUGAUUUGUUGGCCUACUAAAAAUCUAACGGUACCAUAGUUUGUUGACGGCCAUUGUCACGCUGAAAAUAAGAUUUGGGGCUGUAUUUCUAGCUCUAAGUUAGUCGAGAUAAGUGUUAAAUUUGCAUAUUUUUAGUGUGCUUUAUCGAUUAGUUUUUGGUGUGUUUUAGUUAUUUUAAGAGCUAAGUAAUUUAGGUUUCUAGUUAUGAAAAACCUGAAGGGAGGUUUUUGAAAUUAGGGAGAAUUAGAGUUUUGGUCCCCAAUUUAUUACCAACGCGCGAAAUUAGUCCCCAAUCGAUUGCAUAUAACAAAUGUGGUCCCUAAUCUAUUCAAUUUUGCUCAAAAGUGGACAAUUGACGGGUUUUCAUCAUUUUUUGACGGAAAUAAGUCACGUGAGAGCAUGUGCCCGUACUUAAAAUCCUUUUUCCAUUUUUUUAGCGGGAAAAUUCAUAAAAAACUAUUUCCUGCUUUCUGGUGCCCUUAUUCCUAAUUAGCAAAGACAAAACUCAAUUAGCAAAUGGAGUUAAUUAUAUUAAUUAGUGAUAAGGACGCCAGGCUCGACCUGAGCGACCCAUUCCUUGGGCUCGUCUUCUUCCAUAAACACAACGAACUCUGUCCGGCCGCUGACAGAGGCGGGCGUGGUUUCGCCGCUGGAAAGCACUUUCAAUCUGGAUUCCAUUUCCCUCCCCAGGGCCGCCUUGGCGUAGAAUUAGAGCUACCAGUAGCAGCAGCAGUAGCUCUAGCGUAGGAGAGGUGAUAGCGGCGGGAGACAGAGCCGGGUUCGGAAUUGGCGUAGUCAUCCCCGCGGUUAUUGUGGUGGUUGGAAGAGCCAGAACAGGGCUUGCAAUUCUUGUACGUACCCGAAGCCUUUAUUCCAAUGUCCCUGAUCUAAAACACAAUAAUAAUGCCUAAUGAUCAACAAAUGUAAAACUGGAAUGAAAAUAUUACUCCGUAGAGAAUUAUGUAGCAGAAUGAAAAAGGCAGAGUAAUGGAUGGACAUCAGACUACAGUACUUGAGAAGUGAGGGCUUUGAUGGCUUAUCUAGUGGAAGGAGUGGAAAUAGCGGCGGCGGCGUCGUCGUCGUCGUCGUCAUCAUCAUGCUGGGGUUGGGAAGAGAUGCGGCAUUGAGGUGUUGCUUAGAGCAAGCUAUACAAGUCAACAUUAUUUGCUGCUUGACUGGACCAGAGCUGCGCGCCGAGGAAGAUGAGAAUAGUUUUGCCUUUUGGUGUGGGAUCUUCGCUAGUAAAUCAAAGUUUAGCUUUCGCCCGGCCCGGGUACAGCGGAAAAAGUGGGUCAGCAAACCAAUGGAGGAGUACAUGUACUCGGGAAUUUGAUCAGGGCAUGAUCAAGUGCGAAGAAAAAACGGAAAAUGACUCAACUUAUGUUAUGAAGCAUGAAGGGUCGGUUCAGAAAAUUGCAGUAGAAGUUGGAGAAGGAGAAGGUUGGAGAGAGAGAGAGAGAGGUAAGCGUUAGCUUCAUUUGCAGCAGGAUUCCUUCCAUUUAUUAUUCUCUCUAUUUUUGUCUGUCUACUCGCCCUCCAUCACACUGCCUUGUUGGAUAUCAUCUUUCAUUAAAAAUCUAAAAGCGAAUCAAAUACUACUGGGAGGAGUUCAUAAUAACUAAAGAAUUGUAUACAUAAAGAAUUGUUUGAUGUGAUUCUUUACUUCUACUCCCACGGUGUUGACUACUUUAAAAGAGAAAAAAAAAAUAAUAAUAAUAAUAAUAAAUCAGAGCUAAUAGUAAUAAUAAUAAAUAAGGCAAUAAAAGAAGAAGAGAAUGUGAAAGGGAAAACAAAGAAGAGCGAAGAUGCAGAGAGAGAAAGAGACUAGUGUGAAAGAAAAGCUGUUGAGAUUUGUGGGUUUUCAAUGCUCUCUCCGUGUGGUACUGGUGCAUAUAGUAGGGAGCAUUUCUGCAAGGAAAAGAUCAUAAGAGAGGCGGGCAACGGGUUUUGCUGCAACCUGCAACUUUCGAGUUUUUUCCGUCCGUUUUUGUCACAUUUUGGGUUUAAGUUUCUGAGAGAAACACUUCACAACCUCGUGGGGCAUGGCCUCAUCUGGUUUUUGUUCUCGUUUCUGGAGCCUAAAGAGAAAAAGGGGGGACAAUUAGUGUGUUUUGUCUUUGCUAAUUAGGAAUGGGGGCACCAGAAAGCAGGAAAUAGUUUUUUAUGAGUUUUUCUGCUUAAAAAAAUGGAAAAAGGAUUUUAAGUACAGGCACAUGCUUUCACGUGACUUAUUUCCGUCUAAAAUGAUGAAAACCCGUCAAUUGUCCACUUUUGAGCAAAUUGAAUAGAUUGGGGACCACAUUUGUUAUGUGCAAUCGAUUGGGGACUAGUUUCGCGCGUUGUAAUAAAUUGGGGACCAAAACUCCAAUUCUCCCUUGAAAUUAUCCCUUUUGUACGUGCAUAUCAACGGAACAAGUACGUAUACUAGCACAUCUAAAGUGAGUACUAAACACUCAAACACGGGCACACAUACACACACAUUCUCAUUUGGUCAAAAGUAGGGGAUGCAAUUGAUUCGAAUGACUCGAUUCGAACUCGAUUCAAGUUCAAAAAUUUUUGCUAGAGAUUGAAUCUAAUCAAGUUUAAGAAAUAUAAAUUAAUAUAAUUUUAAACAAGAAAUAAAAUAGACAUUUUAUACAAAUAUAUAUAUACAUAUGAAAAUUAAUUGCAAUCGUCGAGUUUUCAAGUUUUAUAUAUUAGGCUUGGAGUUUAUUAGGUAUUUUGAAUUGCUCGAACUCGAUCAUUGCAAUUUGAACUUGAGCUUUGAAUGAACCUGCUGGUAAGCUACUCGAUUCAGGUGGAUUUAUUUGCACGUUUGUCUGUUACAAGUUUUUUUAAAAACUUUAGUUAUAAUAAUCUUAAAAAAUUUCUCAAAAAUUUUAAAUUAUACAUUUCAAAAUAUUCAAAAAAAAAUACACUUCAAAAUUUUUUUAAAAAACUUCUACAAUAAAUUACAAUAAAAUUCUAGAUAAACAUUCAAAAAACUCAUCUUCCAAACAGGCCUCGGUCCAGUCAAAAACUUCACAUACAAACACGCAUAAACACACAUAGUUCCACGUGCACGUGUGAGAUGGACACACAAACACAAAGAUCCAAUCAUGCUUUUAUAGUUGCCAUCAUUUUUUUUCCAGUUUUUAUUCUGCCAUUUUUUCACCUUUUUUUUCCAUUUUCGAUCCCUAUCAUCAUCAUCAAUCUUUUCGCCGACUUCCACUUCUUUUUCAUCAAAACUCCUAUCCCAUACAAAAAACAAAAUUUAAAAAAAAAAAAUUUACCCUUCGGGCUUCGUUGGCGGCUCUGGUGGCCCUCCAAAAAAGCCUACUUUUUGCUUGCUUUUUUCGGACUUGGAUUUUGUAUGAUCAUCUAACCACCACCACAUCCAUGACAUGCAAAUAGUCAAUAUCAUAUUAUUAAUGUAAGUAAAUCGUUCCCCGUUCUCUUUAUUUCUACGGUUACAUGUAAAAAUGGCCUAAAAGAAUAUUUAAACCCGAAAAAAACGCCUUUUUGUCCAUUUUUUUUUGGGUCUGUUAGGCUAUAAGAAUACUUAGUUUGAUGGGUGUUUUUAUGAUUUGUUUCAAAUUUUGAUGAAGGAAAUGGAUCUGGGCUGUGUUUAUUUCUUAAUCUUGACCACUUUUUUAAUGGUGGGUGCAGGUUGUUUUCUCGUUCUUUAGCAUCCAAUAUUGACUGUAUUGGUAGUAUCGAGACUUUUGACUUUUAGAGCGGCACUAGAAGAAGUUUGAUAACAGCUCAUUAUUGACUAUUUGUUGUAGAUUCUCAAAUAUGCAAUAAAAAAAAAAUCUGCUAUAUUUGAGCCCUGCAAUUCUUUUCAAGAAGUACUUAAUGGAAGUAAUGAAACUCUUGUUUGUUGGAAUAGGAAGUUGGUUGUUUCCAAGAAGGAAAGAGAUAAGUGAAGUAUUGCAUCAAGAAGAAUCUUUUGCAGUUUAUUUUGUCUGUCUUUGAGAAUAGAAGAUAUGGGGAAGACCCGUUUGGGUUGUUAUUAGCUGUCUCUGAUUCUGCGGGAAUAAUUGGAAAGUAGUACGAUUCUUAUAGAAAAAGAAGGGAGAGGACAGGGGUGAUCAGAAAGAGAUUGAUUCUGGUUUGGAAAGAUUAUGCUGAAGAUAUUGAAACCUUCAUAAACAUGGGGUCAAUUUUGGAAGUUAAUUUCGGUUACGAAAUAGAGCAGAUACAGCAUCGUUCUUGCUUUUGAGAACUUGCAGUCUUUUUCCAGGAGUGAGAAUAGUUAUUAGAGAAGGGUAAUCUUCUGUUAAAUUUAAAAGAAAAAGACCGUUAAUCAUUUGAUUGUGUUUUUGGAAGAUGGGAUCAUUUCCUGGUCAUGUUCUUCCAGGAACGUUAUUUCUUCUUGUUGGAAUAUGGCAUACAUGGUGUUCUAUAGAACGAUACGUAUUGAAUCCGAAAUCUUUUCGUGUCAGGGUAUGGAAUCCUAUUCCCGGUUUUGAUGGGAAACUCAAGUAUUUGGAGCUGUAUGUUAUAACAAUUGGAUCUUUUAUUGAUAUGUGUAUAGAGCUGCUUUAUUCUACCCAUCUUAAGUGGUUUGUCAAUGGAAUGCUGAAUUCCGGACACAUGAAUAAUUUUGAGCAUGGUGGAAUGCUUCUCAUGUUUUUCAUCUUCGGCUUGAUCGCAUUGCUUUCUGAGAAGACAAGGUAAGUCAUUCUUUGCGGCAUUCUCCGCCUUUAGUCACAGAUUUUUUAUCAGUGUGUGUUUCAUGUUUUAGUAUUUACAUUUGUCGGCAUCUUUUCUUUUUGUUGCUGGUGCCUGGAUCAAAUUCACUCUUGGUCUGCCAUGGUGAAUUAUUGACUUUUCAUCAGCCAAUUUAAGGAGAACUUAGGAUUUGAAUUUUUGUAAUAUAUUAUUUUUUCUUCUGAGAGAUGAGGUAUUUGUAAAAGACAUUGAAUAGGAUAACCUUUUUGGGGGCUGAUAAGUAGGGAAAGUAAACUUUCCAUAAUGAUAUGCUUUGUGUGGUGAAAAGAGAAAGCAUGCUGAAGGAGAUGAAACUGAAUAGCUUAUAGCCUGACCCAUGUUUGCUUUUGCAUGUGCUCUCCUCCACACUCGUGUGGAUUUCAUAUAUGGACAGCCUAUUGUUUUGAAUGUUAGUGUGAGAGCAUAAACUUGCCUUCAUGAUUAGAUGAGAUGCAACCCAUAGAAACAGAUAGAACAUAUCAACAUUUACAUUGCCACAUCAAAUUUUUAAUUCUAUUCUAGGAUGGUAAUUGCUGCUUUAUUUUUUGAAGUUUGCUGAUUAAUAAUUUUAGUGUUCUGGAGGCCAACUUGUGAUUAUUGUUUAAAAUACUCACAUUGCACUCCAUAACAGCUGAUAUCUUUCUUGUUUGGAAUUUUUGGUUCUCUUAAAAGGUAUUUUUAUAUGAGAAAUGUGAAUUGUCAGUCUUACAAAAUGAUUAACACACACUUAAUUAGAAUAGAAGUUACAAUAUACUAUUUUAAAAGGACACUGCUAUUGUUAACAUACCCAUUGGUUGAAAAUCUUGUACACAGAAAGGAUCUUUUACUCAUCCAGAAGGCUAAAUGAUGUUUGUAAUUUUGACUUUGCUAUAUAAUUGUAAAUAGAAAAGAUGUUCAACCUAUUACGACAUGCUUUAAGGAGAAUAUAAAGUUCAUAUUCUUUUGGGACCAUAUGGCAUUUCAGGCAUUGGGUUACUUAUUAGUGACAUGGGUGUUCUCUGUGGUUGUAUCUUGGAAGUUAUGAAGGAGAUGUGCUUGAAGUAAAAAGUUUUCGGAGCUAAUCAGUAGAACAUACCUUGUGUUAAGGGUGUCCCUUUUGUUCUUAUUGAUUUUUCUUGGAAAGCAAAUCAUUUAUCUGAUAAGUUCAUAUAUUUAAAGAAGCCAUGUUAUGGAGUUUCAGAUUGUGACAUACAAAGCGUGUUCUGAUAACUUCUUGGGGCUUUAAUUUGCUAAAGCACAUCUAAGUUGUAUGCAUAUCUUCACUUGUAGAAUGUAUGUAUGCACAAUGUGUCUUUUAUCUGUUUUCCUUUAUGGGCAACAAGAUAUUCAAAUUGAGAAUACUUCAAAGAGUUGACUGAACUCUUUGCUGCUCUAUUCUCCAUUAUAAAGUAACAUGAAAUUUUGUUUUCCAGUUUGUAACCUUGAAUGCCUGCUCGAGAAUGUAGACCAAGUAUUGCUCUGGCUCUCUCUCUGUGUCUGUUUUUGAUGAUUGUUACACAUGUUUCCGUUAUUCUCAACGUAAUCCCUGUUGGUACUAAAUCCCACAUGUAAAGAAGGUCCAUUUAUAUUUGCAAUAUGGUCUUUGUGGCCAAGAAUUUGACAAACCAAGUAUCCUCUCCUNNNNNNNNNNNNNNNNNNNNNNNNNNNNNNNNNNNNNNNNNNNNNNNNNNNNNNNNNNNNNNNNNNNNNNNNNNNNNNNNNNNNNNNNNNNNNNNNNNNNNNNNNNNNNNNNNNNNNNNNNNNNNNNNNNNNNNNNNNNNNNNNNNNNNNNNNNNNNNNNNNNNNNNNNNNNNNNNNNNNNNNNNNNNNNNNNNNNNNNNNNNNNNNNNNNNNNNNNNNNNNNNNNNNNNNNNNNNNNNNNNNNNNNNNNNNNNNNNNNNNNNNNNNNNNNNNNNNNNNNNNNNNNNNNNNNNNNNNNNNNNNNNNNNNNNNNNNNNNNNNNNNNNNNNNNNNNNNNNNNNNNNNNNNNNNNNNNNNNNNNNNNNNNNNNNNNNNNNNNNNNNNNNNNNNNNNNNNNNNNNNNNNNNNNNNNNNNNNNNNNNNNNNNNNNNNNNNNNNNNNNNNNNNNNNNNNNNNNNNNNNNNNNNNNNNNNNNNNNNNNNNNNNNNNNNNNNNNNNNNNNNNNNNNNNNNNNNNNNNNNNNNNNNNNNNNNNNNNNNNNNNNNNNNNNNNNNNNNNNNNNNNNNNNNNNNNNNNNNNNNNNNNNNNNNNNNNNNNNNNNNNNNNNNNNNNNNNNNNNNNNNNNNNNNNNNNNNNNNNNNNNNNNNNNNNNNNNNNNNNNNNNNNNNNNNNNNNNNNNNNNNNNNNNNNNNNNNNNNNNNNNNNNNNNNNNNNNNNNNNNNNNNNNNNNNNNNNNAUAUAUAUAAAGCACACUAUUUUAGUCAAGUUCAUUGACAUCUGUUUUGUCCUUACCAUGGAGACAAAUGACUCCUUUGCUGUAUAAUCAACAAGUCUAAUGUAUACGUCAAUGGUACAUAAUUUUGAGUAAAUCCAACAUAAAUGUUUAAAAUGAUUAAAAAAAAAAAGGAAUAGCAAUAAUCCUACCAAGAAGUUUAAUCUUGGACUUUAGCCAGUUUUAGAUCAAUCGAUGAGUUAAUUUCCACCGGAAAAUCUAUCUAAGAAUCCUAGCUAAUAAUGGAUGUCACCAAGUAAUUUGUUUGGAUUGAAAAUUGCACGGGAAAAGACUUUUAGUUACUGUCAUACUUCUUGUGAUAUGGUAUAUAUAAAAUUAUAAGGUGAUAGAGUAGCGUAUUUAUGGCAUCUCCAAAAUUUUUUUCUAAAUAAUUCCUCCAAAACAGUUGCCCUAGAUAUGUAGCGUAUGUCAAAAAGAGUACUUUUCUUUAGUCAAUGGUCGUCCGAUUUUGCUUGUACUCCAAGGCGGUGGUAAGAAUACAUUGUGAAAAUUCUAAGCUUAUAUCGUUGUGAAAAUUCUACACUCCGGACGACUAGAAAGUGUUUUUUUUUUUUUUUUUUGCCCUUCAAAAAUCUGAUUUUUAGCUUGGAAAAUUUCGAAUUUAAUCAAAGAAAUUGCCGAGCAGUUGUUCUUGGUUCCCUACACAUAUAUACCACAACAUUAUUGUCAACAUUUGUUCUUGAUUGCCUACAUAAUCCUCAUCCUCUGAAUUUUCAGCUAAUUAAUACUAGGAAAUAGUGCGUGUGUUUCCAUUUUCUUGUUUUGACUUCACAUUUCUAUAAUUUUUUGACAGGUUGAUCGGUUAGAUUUUACAAUUGGGUUAAAAACAAAAAAUCCCCCUAUAAUAUACCUAAUAUACAAAAAGCCCCCGUGAUUUCAAAACAUACAAAAUGAUACCUCAUGUUUUGAAUUAAAUUGUAAAUUAACAGCAUUCAUUAAAGUUAACAAAAAUAAUGGUUUCGACUGUUAAACUUACCGAAUUCUGUUAAAUUUACCGUUAAGUUUACCGGAUUCCGUUAAGUUUAACGAAUUAUGUUAAUUUACAAUUUAAUUCAAAACAUGAGUUGUCAUUUUGUAUAUUUUGAAAUCACGGAAGACUUUUCUGUGUCUUAGAUAUACCAUGGGGGGCUUUUUUAUUUUUAACCCUUUAUAAUUUGAUUUUGUUGGUUGGAAAAUCAGUUUAGUUGACCACAAUUAUUAUAAAGAGACAUAAAAUAUUGCGCUUCCAGAGAGAAAUAAUUAAGUGGACUAUUAGUGUUUAAUUAGUACCACCCAUAACUUAAGAUUAGAUUAAGUUUAUGGAAUUGAGUUCAAGAUAUAAGCAGUGCUAAAUUUUGGUAAACCAUUUACUGAAGCAGUAUCAACUGACGAGUAAUGGAAAUGUUUUAUUAAAGGAAUGUAUAAGAUAUAUCGGUGCUCAAAUCGAUUUUAACUUUCACAUGUCCUUUUAUUCAAGGAUAAUGAUUUACAAUACCAACACGAUGGACUGCGAUAUAUGAAUCAUAAUUUUGUAAUUUUCUCUCUUAUUUAUCUUUACCUGAUUUUACUCCCACGAUCCUUGAUUUCUAUUUCAGUAAAUUAUAGGUUAUUUAGAUACGUUGUGAUUUUUUUGUCGCUUUUUUGUGGCAAUACUCUAUAUUUAAUAUUUUUUUUUACCUUAUCACCCCUAGAAGUGUAAACGAGUCUAAUCAAGUCGAAUAUUCUAAUGAUUAAAUUUGUUUGAUUAUUUUAACAAACUUAAAAUUUUGCUCAAAAUGGACUUUUCUAUUUGCUGAAUCGAGUUUGAACAAUCUUUUUAUUGAGUUUAAGUAUUAUCGAACAUAAAACACUAUUUAAAUUUAACUUGAUUAAUUAACGAAUCAAGAUCAAAUGAACUUUUAUCAAGUCAAACUCGAUUUAAGUAGCAAAUUACUUUGUCCAUCUUUCAACUCUACCCACCCCUCGUCAUACCCCUUUUUCCACAAACUGUCAAUUAUAAUAUUAGAGUCCUAAACCUGACAACGAGAGGAAGAUUCGUCCUCUUUAUUCAGACUCCGUUUGGAUUAGCUGUUUUUGGGGUUGUUUUUAAAAAACAACACUGUAGCAUUUCGUUUUUGAAAUACAAGUCCGUUUGGAUUAGUUGUUUUUGGGGUUGUUUUUCAAAAACUAUAUGAAAAACUUUUACUGUAAAUAUUUUUUGGAUUAUUUUUAGAGGUAUUUUUAAAACAUAUUUUUUGAGUAUUUUUAUAAUUUAUAAUUUUUAUAUUUUUAUAUUUAUAUACAUUUAUGCAUUUAUAAUACAUUUAUAAAUUUAUAUAAAAAUAUAUAAAUGUAUUAUAUUAUAUAUAAUACAUAAUAUAAAUAUAUUUAUAAAUGUAUAUUAUUAUAAAUGUAUAAAUUAUAAAUGAAUAUUAUAUAAGUGUAUAAAUUAUAAAUUAUAAAUUAUAAUUUUUACAUUUUUAUAUAAAUAUAUAUUUAUGCAUUUAUAAUACAUUUAUAAAUAUUUAUAAAUAAAUAUAUUUAUAUAUUUAUAUAAAAAUAUAUAAAUGCAUUAUCUUAUAUAUAAUACAUAAUAUAAAUAUAUUUAUAAAUGUAUAAGUGUAUAUUAUUAUAAAUGAAUAUUAUAUAAAUGUAUAAAUUAAUAUAUUAUAAAUAUAUAUUAAGAUUAUGUAUAAAUGUAUUAAUAUAAUUAAUAUAAAUGUAUAAAUGUAUUAAUAUUAUGUAUAAAUGUAAAAUUAAUAUUAUGUAUAUUAAUAUAAAUGUAUAAAUGUAUUAUAUUAUAUAUAAUACAUAAUAUAAAUAUAUAUUAUAAAUAUACAUUAAUAUAUAUAUUAUGUAUAAAUGUACAUUUAUAUCAAUGUAUAAUAUAUAUUAUAUAUAUAAUUUAUAUAAUAUAUAAUAUUUAUAUAAAUAUAUAAAAAUCUAUAUAAAUAUUUUUUAAAUAAAAUAAAUUAUUUAUAAUAUGUAUAAAUAAAUAUAUUAAUAUUUAAUAUAUAUAAUUUUCAAUUUGUAUAAUAUACAUUAUAUUGUAUAUGUAUAAUAUAAUAUACAUAAUAUAAUAUAUUAUACAUAAUAUACAUUAUUACAUUAUUACAUAAUAUAUUAUACAUAAUAUACAUUUAUACAUUAUUACAUAUUAUGUAUAUUAUAUAUUAUACAUAACAUUAUUAUACAUUAUUAUACACAAUAAUGUACAUAAUAAUAUUAUACAUUAAUAAUGUAUGUAUUAUAAUAUAAUGUACAUAAUAUGUUAUGUAUAAAUAUUUAUACAUUUAUGUAUACAAUAUUACAUAUUAUGUAUAUUAUAUUAUAUUAUGUAUAAUAUUAAUGUAUAUAAAUAUUUAUAUAAUAUAUUAUAUAUAAAUAUAUAAUUUUCAAUUUUCAAUUUGUAUUAAUAUAAUAUAUAUAUAUAUAUAAUAUACAUAAUUGAAAUAUACAUAUGGAGUUGUUUUUGAUAUAAUGUUUGGAUAUGGUGUUUUUUGAGUUGUUUUCGAAAUACACAUUUACUGUAGUAUUUGGAAUGUGAAAAACAGUUUUUCAAAAUAGAGAAAAAAACAAGGAAUCCAAACGGAGUGUCAGUUGACACACAUUCACUACAAAAACUAUCCAAUUACAAGACUUUAUAAAAGCGUUCGACUCUAAAGGCGUGAUACUUGUUUGGAAAGGGAUUUUUCAUCAAAAAAUCUCUAUAUUUUUCGUGAACAUAUUUUUGAAUCACAUUUUUAUCUUACACAUAUCAAAAUCGGUACAAUAUAUUUUUUAUAAAAACUCCAAAAAAUGGCAAUCAAAACAUUAUAGUUCUUGCAUUAUGAAAUUAAGGGCAUUACCACGCUUUUGAAAUAAAGCACUGUCACGCCUUUUGCCUGACUCCUAAAUUCCUAAUUACCCAACUUCAGAAAAACAAGAGGUUUUUCUUCCAAAAAAAAAAAAAGGUCUUUUGGCUGAAAGACGACGUCGUUGGACGAUUUCAUUCAUCACAGGUUCAAAUUUGUUAUUUUCAAAAUUCCGGGAUCCCGCCACUAUAAAUAUCCCCCACAACGCGAAAUCUUUUCAAACUUCAUUUUCCCUAAAUUGAUUCCGGAGAGAGAGAGAGAGGGGAGAAGAGAGGGAGAGAGAUGAGGACGCGAUCGACUAAGAGGAAGACAUCGGCGGUGAACCUAUUGGCAUCGCCGUCGCCGAAGACAGCAGAGGCGACGACGCCAGGAAGCCCUAUGAUGAAAUCGCCGAGUGAGUCGCCGAAAGAAUUCGAGUUCAGCUUCAACACAACCAGGCUGGCGUCAUCACCAUUAAUGAAGAAGAAGAGCAACAGCAGUGGCGGUGUAGGAGGAGCAUCAUCGGCUUCGAUGUUCAUGCAGCGUACCGGAGGAGGGCCAGGAGGAUUCUCACCCUCGCCGCUCAGAGGUAUCAACUCCAUUUCGGAUCUGAAGGGGCUAGCUUCGUCUGGGUUGGAUUCUAUCAAACGUCAGCUGGAGCGAUCGCAGUCAGAAAUUCUUAAGGACAUUGAAGCUUCACAAUCUCGUCUCCAGAAACGAUUUAAGGUCUCUUUCUGUAUUUAUGUACGCGUUUUAGUUCAUAUUCAACGAGUUAUGAACUUAAUUACUCUAAUUAGUACUGUAUGGACUGCAUUUUAUCUAAUUUCGUUGGUGAUACCAAAUUUCAGCUUAAUAUUCUGUUUUGUGUACCUAAAUUUCAUGAAUUUUGAAGCUAUGGAGUACUCUGAUAUUUUUCUUUUGUACGUCUAUUCGGUUCUUUGAUACAACUAUGAGUUGCUAUGGUUUUGGAUGUGUUUUGCUAUAAUCUUUAUUUUAUUUAUCUUUAUGGUUUUGUGAUUUUUUUGACAGAAAUUAAUUCAAAUCGUCUGUCUAUGAAGAGUGAAGACACAUACAGAAAAAUGAUAUGUGCAGACAUAGAAGUUUUGCUAGGAUUUUCUUAUCCUUGAAGUUAAUUGAAUAAUUAUACUGGAAAAAAAUAAUGAUACAAUCUAAUUGAGGGUAUGAUGGGUCAUGUGCGUGUAUAUACUUAUGAUCGGAUAAGAUAAAAUAACAAUUAUUGUAUGGUACAAGUAUUUUUUUUUUGCUUCUCAAAUUGCAUGUAUACUGUCAACUAAAAUUCUCAAAGGAUGUGUGCUUCGUGGUCUGAAUGUUUACAUAUAGAUUGUUUUUAUCUAUCUUAGUUGUUAUUCUCCAUCAAUCUGCUUGUUUAAAUGGAAUUAGUGUGAAUUUUCAAAAUUCCGUUCAGGUUGUUCUUACCUUGUGAUAUUUCAACAACUCAUGGUUAGAUUUUAACAUGCACACCCAUGCUUUGGCACUUGCGAUGCCGGCUCUUUCAACCAUUGUGAUAACACUAGGGCCCAGUUUUUGCAGAUACUUUUUCUUCAAUAGUUAAAUAAGGCGUUCUUCAUGUGUAAUACUGCAAAGACUGUACCCAAUCACUUUAGAAUUACCAUAAUUUUCUGCUUGAUAUAUAUAUAUAUAUAUAUAUAUAUAUAUAUAUAUAUAUAUAUAUAUAUAUAUAUAUAUAUAUAUUUUGCUAGUAAUACUCUUGUAUUUUCCUCUUAAAAGCUGCUGCACUUUUUUGACUGUUCGAUUAGAAGUCGUAGGUGUUGGAUAUACUAUACCUGUGAAAAUGGUUAUUUUUGUGGCACUGGCUUUGUUACCAUUCAUAAACUGUUGCAUACCGUGACUGCAUUGCAAUAGAUGUCUUAGACAUUGGUUCUACAUUACUUUGUAAAGUUUGAUUAGUCAAUAUAUGUACAAAGUUCCCAUAGCCAUAUGAGACAUCAUAUUGAGCAUGUCAUGGAAGAUCCCUACUGUGAGAUAGUUGCUCCUCUUGAGGUUUAGUUCACUUCUUGUUUGUGCAUGGUAUUGUACCCUUAAAAUAUGAAAUGAAGAGUUUCUGUUGAUUGUGCAUUACAUGAGAUGGUCAACACACAUCAUAUUGCAUUGCUGGUUGAGAAAUAUAGACUCUCUGUUAAAAAAUGAACUAUCAUUGUAAUAUUGUCUGAAAUUAUGGAAAGCUCACUCUCAUUGAUACGAGCACAUGGUUCAUUUCUUUCACCCUUUAUUUCUCUUCUUCUAUUUUUUUCAAUAAUUAGGCUUUCAUCUAUUCGCAAGAACUAAAGUGCAAUGCCCCGGGGCCACAAGCUCAAGUUUAGCUUUCAGUACAGAAGUACUUAAUUGUUAAAAUUGGUUGUAUUACUAAGUUACACAAGUCGACUUCAGCCUUUAAAUUUUUGAACUGUAUAGAUCAAGAUUUAGAUUUUAUAAGGGAUUGCAUUGCAAUGUGUUUUUAAAAAGGUUGCACAGAAAUGUGAGGAAAGGGUUCACUUAACUGACACUAAGCCAUGCAGCAGAACUUGACAUCACAAGAUGUGGACUUACCUCCAUGUCAUCUUGGCAUCAGCAUCUAGAAUCCCAACAAAGUCUUUAUGCUUCUUUUCUCUUAAGAUUCUUAAAUUUGUUCUAGUACAUUUUCUUUCCAAAUCUCCUCAGUAGCUGUUAUUGUAUAAAGUCUAAGCGCAGUUGAUUUUUUCUGUCACAAUAUACUAGCUGAGAUUAUGAUGCUUUAGUUGCUAGUAUUGUAUUGCACUGCAAUUAUGGGUAAUACUUGCAAAUCUUUGUGAAUCAAUAUCUCAGUGCACCUUUGCUCUGCUUCACUUCUUGUGCCAUGAUGACAGAUUCAAUCUCAAGCAUGCCAGCAAGUGAUGGACGAAGCAGAGAGAGAAAACAAGAAAAUGUCUGAUCGUAUCACUGAAACUCGGGAAGCAAUGAAGGUAGGAGUCAUGACUAUCAUGUCACUAUAAUCACCCCAUUAUCAUUCUCUAACUCUGCUGUCUUGAUGGACUUUCAGGCUUCAUACAAUGAAUUCAUGAUUGAAGCACAGUCCAGUGCAUCACGUUGUGAGUUUCUUAAUUUUUUUCAAAAUGUUUGUUCCAUACCUCAAAUUUACUUCAGCAUGGUUUAUAGCUGCUGUUCUUCAUACCGGCUCACCCAAAUUAAGGAAUAACCUUGUAUAGGGCAUAAGCAACAACCCAUGUCUACAUAUGUGACAUAAUUCUUCCUGCCUAACUUUCUCAGCCCAUGAACUGUUUCUUUUCUUGGUUUGUCCCAAAUUGCAGUGUGCAAAACUUCCAUUCCCGAAAUUUCUCAGUCCUUUGAGAAAUCCAUCAACUCUCUCAGAAGCCGCUAUGGGAUUUCCUCAACUUCAGCUUUGUAGACUUACUGAGUUUCUAGGUGAGUGUAUUACUAAAGAUUUACUGUCCUGUGAAUCAUAUUUUCUAUGGUCAGCUUUGGCGUUUAAUUUAUACAUCUACAUGAAAAGUGCAUGUCUUGGUACAUAGUCUUAUAUGCUUAUUUGUGUAUGUAAAGCUGGAUUCAGAGUUUCUCUUUCUGGAAAGUGACAAUUCCAGCAGGAGACAUUUACUCAGUUUACUAGCAACUUGUUUUAGAGGUAAAUCUUGUACUGGCUUUCGGAAAAAGAAAUAACUGUGGAAAUUUGGAGUAGCGUUGACGCAAGGCAAACUCAUAAAUCUUGGACAGGAUAGUUGAUAAUAUUGAAGGAUUGGCACACAAACAUUUUGCGCACUGUUAACCCUCGUUUAUAUUUACUUUUAUGCCACUCAAUGUUGAUCUUUGCCUUGGGUUAUAAAAACUGCAUUGUAUCACACUUUAAGUAGCAAAUCACCCAAAUUUUGGUUGUGAUAACUUCUGGUGUCAUAUGGAAAUACUGAAAAUUCAGGAUGACAGAAUACACUCUCAGCAUUGAAUUUAGAGGGCUUCUUAAAUAUGAUGAGGUGCACGCUUGGUUUCUUUCAUCCGUCAUUGUCCAUCAUCUUUUGCUUUGUGCCCCAUUAGACUAAUCUUUUAGAUGCUAUGUCUAUUCUAUGCCAUCCAAACACUAGACAACACUUGUGCUUGAAUUGUGUUUACAGUUCUUAAACAUUAAUGUUGCAAUUUAUUAUUUUGAUUUCUGGACUGAAUUUCCACUCCCUGCCCUUCCCUUUCCCUCAAAGUAAGAAGAAAAACGAAACAGAAUUCUAUACAUAUGAACAAUCCUCCUGCUAUGGAAUCUUUAUGUUUUUUUCCCCUUUCUGCAGAGAAGUUGCGGAUGGUAUGAAGAGAAGCUGCUGGGGGUGUCUUAUUGUAAUAUGAUUUCUUUCUUAGCUUGUAAAUUUACAUCGUCUGCAUAAAUCUGGCUAGCUACAUAAAUAGAGAGGAUACAAAAAGGGUAAACUUGUCUUCAAAAAUUCAUAAGCUACAUUAGUGCUUCUUCCCACUUAUUUGGUACCAUCGCUUACUUUUCCCUUGUUCAGCUCCUGAACUUUGAUUAAUGCGUAAUCCAUACUGUAAAAAAUUUGCAACUUCUUGGUCCUGCCGAUUAUCCCUACAAUUUAAAUGUUAAUACUGCUCAUGAUUGCCCAAUAGUGAGCCUAAAAUGUAUUGUAUGAACUUUAUAAAGAAGUUGAGGUUGAGAAGUGAAUUUUAGUUUAUUUGUGCAUUAUGACAAUUUUAUCUUUCUUUGAAGAUGCUAAAGAAUGGAUUUCAAAAUGUGCAAGACUACAGCCUUUGCCCACUCUCCUCCUCGUGUACGAGACAUGAAAAUGAUGGUGCUCAGUGAUGGGUUAUUUUCCAUUUGUUUUUCGUUUAUUAUUAUUAUUAUUAUUAUUUUAGAAAAAUUAUUACCAUUUCCAUAAAGUCUCCUGAGUUCAAAAGCUGAUCAAACUUGUCAUCCCGUAUAACUUUUGUCAGAAAUUGUUAUGCGAGAAAACUGGUCAAACUGAUUCAGACAUCGGUGACAUGCAAAUCCCAUCAGGAAUAGCUGUUCCCUGUUUUAUGGUAAAUUCAGCAGGUUCUUUUCUUUUACUUAAUUUUUUUUCGGGUAGUAUAGUCCUUUUCGUACGUGUAAACAGUAAAACGAAUCAGAUAAGCUUUUUGCCUCGAAGAAUCUGAAGAAAGAUAUCCCCGACCAACCAUUUGAGCCCUUGUAACUGAACCGAAGCAGAGAAAGCAGUGAUGGAAACCUUUUCCUAUCCAAGACCACAUCCCUUAUCCUCACUCUCUUCAACUUCACUAAGCUCAUCAAAACACCUUCUUCAACUCCCAAUCUUAACACCAACAUAUAGGAACCAAUCUCGUCAACUACAAUUUACCUCAAUCUCCGCAACUCUAAAAGCUCCAAGAGGCUUCGGACCAUCCCCAAAAAAGGCCAAGAAGACCAAGACACCAAAGAAAGACUAUGAUGAAGAGGAAGAUGAUGAUGAUGAUGAUGAUGAAGAGGAAGAAGAUCGAGUAGAAGGAGUUAUACCAGAGAUAGUCACCAACAGAAUGAUGAGCAGAAUGGGAUUUUCAGUGGGUGUCCCUUUGUUUAUAGGGCUAUUGUUCUUCCCAUUCUUUUACUACCUGAAAGUUGGGUUGAAGAUAGAUGUGCCCACUUGGAUACCCUUUAUUGUAUCAUUCAUCUUCUUUGGGACAGCCCUUUUGGGGGUUAGCUAUGGGAUUGUGUCAUCCAGUUGGGAUCCUUUGAGAGAAGGGUCAUUCUUGGGUUGGAAUGAAGCUCAGAAGAAUUGGCCUGUGUUCUGGCAGUCAAUUUGGGGUGGUGGAUCAAAGAAGAAGAAGUAGAACUUGUACAAUCUGCUGUUAUUGCAUAAUCAUUCAUCAACAAUUAAUGCCCCUUUUCUGGGAAUGACUUGCCUAAAUUUUGAUGAUUGCCUUCUCUACAUUUCUUUAGUUCAUAUACUCCACAACACAAGACCCCAUUUAUUUUCCCCUACAUAUAAUGGCUUUGCCGUUUGUAGUUGUUGCCAUUGAUUUCCGUUUUCUUUUCUUAUUUUACUUCUUGAAGUAUCGCCUGGAUGAGAAAUGUUCUGGCUGUUAUUGAUAGUAAAUAAGUAGCUGAGAAGGGACAUCAAAUUAUUGAAAGCAAAGGUCUAAUCUCCAUACCAGAUUUAAAAUGACUGCAUCCUUGUGCUUCUUAAUUAUCUGUUCUCAAAUUCAUGUCCUUUUACACCUAUUUAAUGCUGCCAUUCUGGGAAUAUUAUUAAAAAAAAAAAGGAAGAAACCUUUCUUCAUGCUAUCUUCAGUUUAUAAAAGUGGACAAGGGCUAGUGCAGUUGUGAUUUGAUCCAGUUUUGUGUCGUGUUUAUUACAUUAUUUGGUAUACAAUCAAAUUAUCUUAUUAUAUUUGUUAAAAAAUUGAUAUAUACAUAUAUAAUAUUUGAUAUAUAUUCAGUACAAUAAUCGUUAUGUAACAUUGUUAAUAUAGAAUUAAUCUUUCCUUCACUAAAUGUAUACAUUGUCAGUGUUGGAUGAAUGACAACUAUAUAAAAUUUGAAUUUGAAAUUCAAUUUUUGCAUAUGUGUCAUGGAUCCAACGGUGAUAGUACACGUACUGUCAGUAUAGGAAAGAUUUACUCUGUUAUAUAUCAAAAUUAUGAUAUGUACAGUAAUUAAAUACAAUCAGACAACCUUACCUGCAUCCAGUCCACAUUGUCGACGAAAGAGGAAUUAUUCAAAACUAUGACUUAGACACCUGCGGUGUCAUUGUUGAAACAAAAUAAUUUGAAUGGCUCAACGAUCUGGGGUUACCAUUUUUCAGCAAUGGGAUCGGCAAAAGUAUGAAUCUGGCAGCGUUAAAUAAGGCGGACAACCUGCUUUAAAAAUCUCUAAAACUUCUUGCUGUUAAGGAACAUUUUGCAGUUCCAGGCACAGCCCAUCCGUCUUUCAGAAGGGUUGGGCCUGCUAUGUGAGGUCCACAUCCAGAUUUCGCAAUCUCCUCCUCUUUCCCAGUUCCCUCUCCAAACACAUAAAUUAAAGUGGAUUAUGCGGAGGUUUUCUCCUUUAUUAUUAGAGUAAAUUUUAUGUAAAUUACCAGUGUAUAUAUAAUCAUGAUCGGAUACAUGAUAUAUAUAUAAUUUAAAUUUUAAAUUCAAAUUCAGAUCAGUUGUCAUUUAUUUAGCCAUAAUGGUGUAUAUACAGUAUCAGUGUACAAUAGAUUAAUACUCAUUUAUUAUUAUUGUUACUUUCAAAUGAUAAUAUUAAAAAAAUUUUGUAUCUUAGGUAGGAAAGGACCCCCAAAAAAACGGAAGAAGAAAACUUCAAUGCUUGGCAUCCAUAAAGCAAAUAAAUGUUCAAUUUCUCGCAUGCAACAAUUUUAUGGACUCUUUUUAUGUUUACAUGGACCAAAAUUCUAGUCUAUGAUACGUAUGGUUAUACUAUGAUUCAUAACAUAAUUCGAAUUUUCCAAUUCUGUAUGAAGUAAACGAAUAGGACAAUUACGUAAAUUAACUCUUUCUUUCUUUUUUUGUUUUCCCUUCGUUGGCUGGUGUUAUUAUUUUGUUCCUAAAUCCUAGGAGAGAAAUGAAAAUUGCAUGUUUUUAUAACAUAGUGAUUUCUGAAGACAAAACGAAGUGAUUGGAGGGAGGUUGUUUUGAACAAGCAGUUUUACAGUUGGUCUCUUCUUUUAACACUAUUAAUCAGUGAUUUUUUUUUCAAACAAUAUACAAAUCUACAAAAAAGAAGCAAGUAAUCAAAGUGUUCUAACAUUGGAAAUAGUGAAAGUCUUAGGAUCGAGAUUUGAUCUACUUUACGCAGAUGAUUGAUCGCUGAAUAUCUUUAUAAUCACUUUACAAACUGCAUGGCAUUGCUUACCCGAACCAACAUUCCUAACGUUGGAACAAAGUUUAAGCUCGACACAAUGCUUUUCUUUUCAUGCCUCCCAACCUUUGCACAUUACUUUAUACUACAUUAUUUUGUGGCUUUGCCUGUGUGGUAAGGUACCCCCAACACCCUAACUAGUUGAGUUGCUCCCCUUCUUUACUCUUCUUAAUUUUGUGUUUUUGUAAUGGAAGAUUUAAGGUUAUCCCCCUAGCAACAAAAAAUAUUCAUACAUUUAAAGAGUAGUAAAAUAAACUUUUAUUAACAUAGAUAUUAAAGGGACUUGAAAUCAAGUCCUUUUAUUUCAGGGCUCUCACCCUUUUUCUUUUUUUUUUUCUUUUUUUUUUUGGUACAAAUUUAAGUGCUUUCGGGAAUGUUCUUUAGCUAAAUAAGACUUUGACAUAUUGUUAUUUGGUAUGUUUCACAUAAAUAGACACUAAGUAAGUUUUUCUUGCUUAUACUAGACUAAGACGCUGUUUGAUAAUCCAAUUCAGCACUUAAUUUUAAUAAAUUCAGAUGUUAACAUAUUCAAACGCGUUUUGAUGAUCAAAACUAGAACAUCUGAUUUCAUUAAAUGGCAUUGAAUUUUUUAGACAAAAUUUGCUCCAAAAAAUAAGUAAUAAACUAUGUCACUUUUAUCACUUAAUGUGAUAUAGACUCAAAUGUAUCAAAUUUAACAAUCACUAAUUUAAUGAAGUCAGAUUUCAAUUUUCAGAUUUUAGUUUCAUCAAACGUAGCCUAAGUAAUGAAAAUUAACAAAAAUGACAAUCUAAUUUUGCAUCAGAAAUUGUCAUCCGAUUUUGUGUAAUGGAUACCACAGGAACAACAAAGGGACAGGACAGAUUAACAUAUUUAGUAAUGCCAAACUUGUUGCUAGGUUUUGUAUGCUCCCAUGUAGCAUGGCUUAUGCUCAUAUAAUUGGCCAAUAAGUAGGCUAAUCAACAAUAGGCUUUUUAGCCUUUGAAUUAAAGGUUUCCGUUCAAAAUCUGGUAGCAUUAUGGUCCCAUUUAGUCGUAGCAUUUGUACGAUUAACAUAAUUACUAAUGUAAUCCACCUAGCAAUGCACAAAAGGGGUGAAGCAAUACAAAAGUUUUCAUUCAAAGCCUAUAGAGAUUUUGAACUUUACUUCCAAAUUGCAAGAGAUAGGAUUGACAGGUGAGCUUGAAGAGGGGUGCAUGGCUUUGGACCUUGACUAUGCUUUUCUUGCUUAAGAAGAUCUCAUGGGGAACCUCUUUAGGGCUGGGGCGGAUAAAAGCUUCCACACUCAUAGCAAACCACGUGGCAAAAACCCAUUUGACCACAGACAGAGAGAGAGAGUGAACUAGAGACAGAAAUUGAAGUUAUAGAGGAGAGAGAAGGUUGGAAUUAUUUUUUGCUUCUUGUCUCGUUAUUCCAAGCAUUUUUUCUUUGCUUAAAGAGAGGUUAGCCCCCAUUGGAAUAAAGCUAAGGGACAGACAACAAAACUGGUUAAAGCUAAAGCACACAAUUGCCCACAUUGCCAAAGCAGCAAAAUUGCAACAACAGCCAAUGCUGACAACACCCGCAGCAGUAGGUAAAACAGUAAACAAUUCUGCGUGAAAUUUGGUCAUCUCUGCCCAAGGAAACCCAAACAAAAUCUCAGUACAGUGAAGGGUCACAGCCGGCAGGUCAGUUUGAAUCUAACGUUAUGUAGGAACCAGUAGUCGAUGGUGGAUUUUACCUGUAAAGUCUUGAACGUCAGAUUUUGGAUUACUUAGUUGUGAGGCAAGACAGAAUCAGACAUUAAAAUAUUGGAGGAUAACAUCAUCAGUUGUUAGGUUAUUAACCAUCAUAUGAUAUCCACUGGUCAUUAUCACUUUUGUCGAGGACGACAAUUUUUAAUCAACUAAGGACGUUUGUGCUGUCAUUGGAUAUUCAUUAAUCAAUUGGGUUCUUGUCUAAAUUAAAACGCCUGUCAAUCUUAACAAGAAACGGUCAGAAGUUACAUUCAGCAAUUAUGUAAAAUGGGGUGCUGACGAUUGGCCGAGAAGAGGGUCGGUCUGCAGUAGUGUACGGAGGUUAAGAAUCAUCAUCAUCAUCAUCAUCAAAUGCAUGGUUAUUGCAAUCUUUUAUGAAAACACACAAGGAUGAUUAACUUCUUCCUGUAACACUUUUAUAAGAAAUACGUUUGUGAGAUAAAAAUAUGAUUAGAAUUUCUCAGAAAUCACGAUUAAUUUAUUACCAUGAGAUCGCCCCAUCAGAAAUGAAUGCAGAAUCCUAUUUGGUUAUUUGCCUUGAUGUCUGAGUCAUGGAGGAGAUGGGAAAAGAUCAAUGGUAGAUUCCAAUUAGGAUUAUGUCUGGGUACUCGACACCAGUAUUUCUUGUUUAAAGCUUUAGCCUUUCUUAAGCAAGUUGAAAAGACCCUAGAAUCUCACAGGAACCUUAUAUAUAGAUGUAAGCCUCUACUAGCUCCUCUCAGAAUUCAUGCAGCAUCACGUACAUUUCUUCUACUUUAAACUACUAUUUUAUUCCCUCAUUUUGCAGAAGAUUCUGUUUUGAAUCCAAGUCAAAGCUCAGAAGUGGGAAAUGAGAAUUUUAGCGUAUUGGAAAGUGCAAGCCCACGGUGGGAAAAGAACAAACGACACCAAUACUAUUCUUGGCAUCAACUGGAAGGAACAGUCUUUGGUUUUUGGCUCCUUUUACGUGGAAUUUCCAACAUUUUUGGGGCAUACAAAGGAGGAUUAGGAGCAUAAAUGUCUUGUACAAAUAAGUCGUGGUUUCCCUGGGGAAAAGCCAAUAGGUAAAUAAACUGCAUGAAAUAGUUACGUGUGUUUGAUGUCAACAAUUACAAGAAACAGACCUGAAUCUUAGUUGUAAAUUAAGCUGCAUAAUCUUUGUCAUAGGGUUAGAGUUGUUCAAAAGAUAUUUUUUGCAUCAAGUCAUUUAUAUUAACUUCUUCUCUGAUAUUUUUUCUACAAAUUUUGCUAAGGCCUGAAAAAAAAACAUCAAAACGCUGAUUCAAUGCUUAGAAUGGCAUUUUCCUAGUACGACUAAGUGUUAGAAUAUUAAAUCUAAAAUUUGAUUUAAGGAAUGUAUGUUCUUGGGACAUCCGCCCAUUGCAUAAGAUUUGUCUAGUAUGUUUUAUCCCUCUACGCGAUUAUUGGCGGGAUAUUGCACGGGACGAAAUUUAUUCAGAGCGAAUUCUCGAAUAACGAUUAUGGGUUCCUUAUCAACAAAAUAAUAAUAAUAAAAGAAUGCGUGUAUAAAAAAGGUUGUAGGAUUGCUUGCUGAAUAUGUUUUUCAAGAUUUGUGCAUCUGAACUCUUUACAGUUCUGCUACCAAAUGAAAUAGCAACCACGCACUAGGCACACUUGAAUCUUUGUGCCAUGGCCUUGUAGACAUAACAUUUUGGUAUUUCAGAAGUUAACUUAUCCUCGAGUGGUUUACUCUGCCAAUUUGUAAGUUCUACAUACGCAAGAAUAUAUGACUGCAAAAUUCGCCUUGAAUAAGUUUCAUCUUCAAGAAAGUAUAUGAAUCAAGUGGAAAUACUUUUCGCAAAAACAAAAAAAUUGACAAACGAUUCAAAAUGAAAAUCUUGUAGUAUAUAUCUUUUCAUGUUAAUUUCUAUGUAUGAUACCUUGUUGGCACAAAUCAAAAGUAAUUUGGAAAAUACAACCUCAUGUAUCCUAGUAUCACUUUUUUAUAUAAUGUAAAUUUGAUGCAUUUAGAGUUUAUCUAAGACUUAUAUACACUGUCAGUGCAUUAUUUUUAUAAUUAUAAGAUGCAAAUGAAGGUUUAAAAUUAUCAUAAAACUACACAUAUAACUAUGAGUUCCUUCAACCAUUUUCUUUUUUUUUUAAACAUUUUUUCUAACGAUGAGUUGCAUAAUUUGCAAUUUAACCUUCCUCCUUAACUAAAUUCAUACAGAUUAAAUCCAUUGACCUAUAUCAUAAAUCAAGGAACCAUGUUGUCAACAUUUUUCCUUUUUUUUUUUUUUUUUGGAUUGUAUGCUUAAAUGCUCCUUUCUUUUUGAGACAACCAUGAAAUUAUAAGAGCUAGAACUUUUAAUAUGGAGUAUUAUGUUUACAUAAUACUAGAUUCAAAGCGCCUAAUAGGUGGACAACCACAUUUAAGUUUGGUGUGGGAGGAGUGGAAUAUGGAGGGAUCAAGGAUACAACUAUGCAAGUAUUAUCAAGAAAAAGAAGAAAGAUUUUUUCUCAAGGACACUCAUUAGUAUAUUUAGUUUAAAAUUUUAGUUACUAUUUCAAAUACAUAUUCACAAUUAUUCCUUCUUCUUGUAUGUAGACAUUUUCUUGAUUUAACUUUGCUUUUCUAGAAGAACUCAUAUAUAGCCAAAAUGAAAAGAACAUUUAAAAAUCAAAUAGUACCAAAUAUUUUCUUUUGUUUAACUCUUGCAACUACUAAAAACAACAUAGCUAUAUAGGAACAACUAAUUAAAAUUGAUCACAAGUACUAUUGGCUGGCUCAAUUUGUAAACAACUUAUCCAACUCACAAGAUUUAUUACUAACAUUUUGUUAGUGCCUUGGGCACAAGAUUUUGUGUAUUGCUACUAAUAUUUUUCACGAAAUUAAAACUAAUUAAUCAGAAUCAGCAGAAACUACUUUUGGUAGGUUGGAGAUUCCAAUUUUUUUUUUUGUGUAUUGUAAAAUAUACAUCUAGCUACAAAAUCAAACAAAAAAAAUCAAUGAAACUGAUUUCCAAAAUGAGAAUACAAAAUCAAGUGGAAUAAUUGAACCAGAACAACCCUAAAACCACAAUCAACAACUAUUAACAUCCAAUUGUGUUUCUUUUCAUUUCUAAAAUUAAGAAUGAAAGUUAUAUAAGGGCUAGUAUAUAGUAGAUUUUAUUUUACCAUAAAAAUUGCACAUUUACCACUUUCAUUGACAUUUAGACACUUUUGAUUUAAUCUACCUUUCCCAAUAAUGUUUUAACAUUUGACAAUCCAUUGACAAGUGUUCAUUCAUUAGACAUUUGCCUAAGCAUUGACCUUAAAAAAAAAUUCAAAAUGAGCUUCUCAAAUUAAAUUAAAUUCCCAUUUCCUAAGUAUGACUAAGAACCCCAGAAAGCAAAGAGAAAAUCAUGAUUUGAUCUUUCAUGAUCCUUACAGAAUCAUUUCCUUAAAAUCAAGAAAAUACUGACUAUUGCACACCAAAUCCAAAAUUAAGCCCCAUCAAAUCCAUCUUGACAAGAGUAAAUGUGAAAAUCACCCAUGACAGUUCAAAGACCAAUACCUUCAUGCCACGUGUCAAUCAUCACAUCCACAUCAGCCCCAUGCUCAUAUAUAGGACAUCACCUAGACAGGUGGGCCCGUACUGUCUACACACUUCAAGACCGUCUGUAACGUCGGCCCCACAUCACAAACAUUGUACGAAACAAAGUCCAACUCUUGAUCCACAACGUACAACCCCUGUCGUCCAACCCCCAAACCUCCGUUAACUAUAACGGCGACACUUGACGGCGUCACGUCCCUCUAUAAAUACCCUCCUCGCUCUCUCCCUUUAUUCUCUUUCUUUGUCUCCAUUCUUCUUUUGUUCCCAUUUAUACAUUUGAAAAAAAAAAAAAAAAAAAAUCCUGCGCACUGCGCAGUAGUGUAUAUAACGUAAAACCUGGAGCCAAGAGAGAAUCCAAACUUUCCAUUUUCAAGCCAAGUUUUCCGCCAGAGACUCGCCGGUGACCUGUCACCGACGAUCCUCCGCAUCAUUUCCCAAAGAUUUUGUUUUAGCUCCCGAGAUUACGUCGAGAAGCAACAACCUAAAUGCAUAGCAUAUAUUCAUCCGUCUUCAUUCAUUUGAUUUGAUCUCAUCGUUCAAAUAUCGGAACCAUCUCUUUUUCCCUUCCCUCUCAUCCCUCAAGUUUCAACGCCCAAGUAUUCACAGAGUCUCCUCGGAUAGAUAGUUGUUUUAAGCUCGGUAAGUCUUCGAAGAAACACAUAGCAUGAGUUGCUUCAUUCCUUCAUGCAUGCCAUGCCAUGAAGUUUUGUUUUCUUUUUUUUUUUUAUAGUUUUUAAAACUUUUUUUUUAAAGUUGGAUUUUGAAAUGAGCAUUCACGGAAACGAACUUUUAGUUUCGUUUCUCCUUCAUUCAAUGAAUGCUGAUCUCAGUUGUUGGGUGAAUAUUCUGUUCACCAUGUCGGUUGGGGUUCACAAUACCCCAACCAACAUGGUGAAGAGAAGAGUGGUGGGUGAAGAGGAGUAAAAGGGGGUAGAAAUCAAGGAGCAGCGAAGCAACAGCAGAGGAAGAAAGGGGAGGGGAGGGGAAAGGAAAGAAAGUAGCAGUACAAGCGUGGUCUGAAGGGAUGGCAUAGGAGAGUCGCUUUCAAAACGAGAAGAGUAGCCUAGGAGAAGGGUAGCAGUACGUUUUUUCUUUUUCAUUCUUUUGUCUCUGUGUCCACUGACUCACCGCUUUCAAAACUCGACACACUCAGCAUUCAUUCAUUAUCACCAUCAUUUUUAAUCCAACAACCAUAUUCAUUUACAAGAUCCCACAGAAACAGUACCACUACUACUGGUAUAUUAAUCCACUCACACCACCACCUUAUUUAAAGAUAUUUACCCAUUUUUGUUUAUUUGAGUAGCGUGUGACUGUGUGUGGAUUUGAGGAGAUGGGAUCUUUUUUUUUUUCUGAAAGAAGUUAGCUUUUUUGAGUUUAUUGAGGAAUGAUGAUGUGAAAUGAAUGUCGGAUAAAAGAAAAAGGGGGUGAUUAUUAUGGCUGCUGCUGCUGUUUCUUGUUGUUGUUGUUGCUGCUGCUAAAUAUAAUGAUGAUGGAUCAUGAUCAUGGAUGAUGAUGAAAUAUGAAUGAAUGAAUAAAUCUGUCAGAAAAUUCGGCUGUUAGGAAAGUGUGAAGGGCGAACAGGAAUCCCAAAAAUCUCUCUGGCUGCUAUAUCUUCCCUGUACAAUUUCUUUAUUUUGUCACCUUCUUUAUUCCGUCUGGGGUUAGUCUGUACAUUAAAGCACAUACAUAGCUGACCUGACCACUUUCCUAUAUUUGCAUUCAAUUAUUGCUCUCUCCAUAAGUAAAACCACCCCACUACGUAGUAUUUAUCACCCUUCUCUAAUCCCGAGCCCUUCUCUUCAUCAGUGUAAUUUUUUUUUUUUUUUUUUUUUCCUUUCCCUAUCAAAGAUUUUGAAAAAAAAAAUGCAACUUUUAUCGUUUUUUGGGGAAAAAAAAAAGAUACUACUUGUUUUUUUUUCGUCCAAACAUGUAUAUAUGUUCAUUUUACUGUAUUUGUUCUUGGACUUAUCUCGUUACGUAGUUGGGUUAAUGGCUACAAAUUUUCUCGUUUUAGUUUUUUUGCCUGUCGAAGAUUUUAUCUUUUUUGGACAAAAGGGUACUCGUGUUUUUUUGUCUGAAUAUUUUUUUCUUCUUAUCUUGUUGGACUUACUAUAUAGUCAUUUUCCACAAUGGCUGGAAUAUUUCUUUCUGUUUUUCUUCUUCUUUUCCUAUCAAAGAUUUUGAAAUCCAAAUUUGAUCUUUAUUUGGACAAGAGGGUACUUGUGUUAUUUUCAUUGAGGGAUUGAUAUGUUUUUGUUGAUUUUUUUUUUUUUUUGCAGAUAAAAAGAAAAACAAAAAAAAAAAAAAAAAAAAAGGGUACAAGAAAAAGGACAGAAUUUUGGAACAAGAGGAGGAGGAGAAGAAGGAAGAGAAGAUGUUGACGUGUAUUACGUGCUCCAAGCAAAGGACGGAAGAUGGGGGAGAGGAAAGCGCGCGUGGGACUCCCAGUACAAAAGAAGCCGUCAAAAGCCUGACGGCGCAGGUUCUAAUCCUACACCCCCUAUUACUCUAUUAAGUUUAGUAUACUCGGCACUCCUAGUUUAUUUAGGUAUAGACUGGACUAUAGAAUAGACUAGCAUUCACGUUAUUGGCUAAAUUGUUCUUUAUUUCUUUUUGGCCAGUUUCUUUUUCUCUUUACUUCUUCUUUGUGAAAACAGACAAAGAUUAGUAUCUAAGACAUACAUCUCUUAACUGGGGUCCACUGUUUAGUAGGAUCCACUUACCAACCAUUGGUUUGUGUGUUCCAAAGUCUUUAGCAUGGGUAUCUGUAUCCCUCUUUUCUUUUCUUUUUUUUCCCUGCCUGGGUUGGUUUUGGUUUUGUACUGGAAAUAUUAGUUUAUAUGGAUUGUUUAUUUUUGUGGGUUUUCUUGAUUCUGCAAAAGGGGGAGUGAGAACUGAGAAAAUUGGGUUUUUGAAGAAGAUUCCCCCGCUGGAGAAAGAAAUAUGCUUUUGGUUUUGGUCCAUAUGGGAUGGGAGGACCAAAAAUGUGUUAGUUCACAGCUAAUGAAGCUUUAAAGCUUUAUGAGUGGGGCAUAUGGGUUGGGAUUGGCCAACGACUAUGACUUAAUUUGAUGCAGACAUGGUUCACCUUGGAUCAUGUGUCCGAUUUAAUCUUGGUCCCAUUCUCUUCCAUCGUUGAUUUUCUUUUUCUUUUUAACCUUUUUGUGGAAAGACUUUGAAUGAUCAAACAGUGUGCUUUGAUUUUCUAAUGACAGGAUCAUCAUAGGAAAUCUCAAGCUUAUUGACCAGAUUUAAAUGGAAUGUUUGAAUUUAAAAGACGACUGAAGCUCUUGAGUUCAAAUGAAAGCUCAUAUUAAAGACAGAUCUUCAUCUGAUACUGUUUUUGUUGCUUUCAUGAGUAAAUCUUCAUCUUACUGAUUGGAGGAAUUUCCAGCUUUGGAUCCUCUGUUCUUUGUCGGGCUUAUUUGAUACGAUUGAAUCUUCACUGUCAGAAGAUCCAAUGUCGGAAUUACCAAUAUGGCUAGAUAGUUUCUUGUUAAAUCUUUGGUUGCGUAUGUGUUUUGCUUUUGUCUUAGCAACAGAGCUUUCUCUAGCCACUUCUGCAUAGAAACCAUCAUACUUAUACGUGAAUUUAACUUGAUAAAUGGUAGUACUGAGAAAAGAGUGAUGCAAGAACUGCUUGCUGCUUUUCCUAUUCUACCACUUAUAACUAAUUUUUGUGGAACUGGGAUUUUCACACCAGCAGGUCUGCUCUUCUCAGUUCUAUUUUGUAGGGCCACCUGAGAGUUUUUUUCAGGAAAGGUCCCAACCAAGCAAAAGACUCUCACUCUGAGACUGGCAUUCAGCCCCUCUAAUUUAUCGAGUAGUCUGUUUAUGAUUGAGAAUCAAAGAUAGCAUUGGGAUUGGUAACUGAUAGCUCACCAGGUCUGCGAAAGCAAAGCAUGACCCUUCUGAUGAUCGUAUCUUUAAAACAUGAAAGCCAUCUCAGGUAUUUGUGGGAUUUUGGGGGGGGAGGGGCCAACUCAAAUUUCACUGAAGCUCAGAACUAGAAGAGCUCCUUUUCUCUAUUUUUGACAACUUAAAAUGAAUGAUGCUCUCUUUUCUUUGUUUUUUUUUUUGGCGGGGGGGAGGAAGGGGGGAAUUGUGGGGAGUGGGAUGGGGAGGGAUAGUUUAACGUGGUAUGUCAAUCUUUAACGUGGUAUAUUCCUAAGAUGUGUUUUGGGUCAAUUCAUCCUUAUAAAAUGCGACUAUGCAACGCCAUAAGAACAGGGUCACUAUCUCCAAGUGGGGAUAUUGACAAAAGACAACACGCAUGUUUGAUAAAGACUCGUCCAAGUUUCUAUGACUUGACCCACCAUUGAAAUCCUGUCUACCCACAGUUUUGCAGAUGGUACUCAAAUGUCAAGUGCCACGAGGCCAGUUGGGUUGUGAGGAAAUUAAAUGCUAAAUGUGACUCUACCUUGCACCAUCUGCCUGUAUACAGCUCCUGCUGGUCAAUUCAGCUUAUUUAUGUACAGAAGAAGAUGUGGCAAAACCAUGUUAAAUUGUUUGUGAUGUACUUCUUCACUGAUUUCAUAACAGUUGGUUAAAUAAUUGCCAGUUUGCGGUGGGAUAGAAGGAAUUGGUGUAUCAUGUAUUUUACUAUAAUACAUGAUUGCACUUGCUUCACUAAUUGAUGUUAUUCACAUUUCUGUUGUUUAAAACAUGAAUUUACCAUCCAAGCUUGAAAAAUUGUGGAUGGUUCUGCAAUUUUUAUUACUGAUGUCGGUGCAGAAGACUGCCUGUGUGAGUUCUAUUAUUCUUCGUGUAACUUCUGCAACCAAAAAUAAAGAAUCAACAGUAAGUAAAAUAAAAACUAUUUGACGAGUGAUAAUUCCUCAAUAAUUACUUUGAAACAAGACAAAUAGUUGUGUAUACAACUCCCAUGUCUAUCUAGUUUAUUAGCACAAUUUUCAUGGAAGGUGAUUUUGCUUAAUACAUGCCAAUAUCACAUGUUUAUAACUGAUCUUCUUUCCCUUGUUGGUUAAUAAAUGAAGUUGCUUUUCUGGUUUUGUGUAAUUAUCACUGAUUGUUAUCAUCAUGUGUGUGCAGAUUAAGGAUAUUGCUUUGAAAGUAUCGGGUAGUAAGCAAGGCAAGCCGAGCAUAAGCCCAGGUGGUUUCAGAAAAGGCAGACCAUAUCCAGAUUUCGACACAAUUUCAGAGGGAGUGCCCUACCCUUUUAUGCAACCAGGAAGCUCAAAUUCCACUCCAGCUUGGGAUUUUACAAGAACUGGCCCUCAAUCUGCUGGCCGACAUGACUCAAGAUUCACCGGGGCAUUUGGUGGUGACAGGACUCCUGGCGGACAAGAGUCUAUCUCACAGUCUGGUGAUGUGGUGCUGGAAGAUGAGGAUGAACCAAAAGAAUGGAUGGCACAGGUGGAACCUGGAGUUCAAAUUACUUUUGUUUCACUCCCGAAUGGUGGAAAUGAUCUAAAGAGAAUACGCUUUAGGUAAUUCAAAGAUACUUUCUGUUUCUUUACGUCGAUUGCUUUAAUAUUUCACCUCCUGUGUGAAUAUCUUAAAUGCAAUGCCCAAUUCAUUCUUGCAUUUCCAAAAUAUCUUUCACAAAUUGGGGCUGGAAAACAUGGAUUACUACCAAAACAUCACUGUAAUGAAUCUUUCAAGGUGUUGUCACAGUCCCUUUGAACAAGUCUGGUCCUUUCUUGAGGCUUGACUUGAAUUCACCGAACUCCCUGUGUGGUGUGGACCUCAUGUAAUGAAGUCCAAUCUUUAAGGUCCAACCUGGAGACAUUCAUUACAUUGAUAUGUAAAGUAGACCCACCAAUACUUGAGCCAUUCCUAAUUCACAUGCAUACAUUAUUUUUGGUCCUUGGGAAAGGCUGGUCUGACUAAUCAUGCUGCAUGAAUGAGUCCAUGUCAAGUGGUUUCUAACAUGAUAUGAGAAAACCUGGCCCUAUAGGAUGCCAGAUGGUUCUCAAAUUUCAAUCCUUCGCACCUUACUUCAAAUUGACGUUAGUGAUAGAUCAUGCUCAUCUUAUUGCGACAUUUUGAUUUGAAGUCGUGAGAUGUUCAACAAAUGGCAAGCACAAAGGUGGUGGGGUGAAAAUUAUGAUCGAAUCAUGGAACUGUAUAACGUCCAAAGAUUCAACCGGCAAGCUCUUAACACACCCUCAAGAUCAGAAGAUGGGGUAAUUCACCUUCUUUUACAUCUCUUAAAUUGCCAACUUUCAUACUUGUCAUUUUCUUUUCAAACAUGUUUGUAUCUGUUAACUGAUGUUUGGCCUGGCAAGAACGAUAUAUUAGCUCCGUCAGGACUGAAAUGUCGGCAACUAUCGUGAAAUCCUGAGAUGGUAGUAGUGCCCACAAUAAAAAAAAAAACUUUUGUUUUCAUUCAAGCUGCACCAUUUCUGUGCUUGUCUGUGUAUUUACACCUUUAAGCUGAUCAGCUUAGAAGAACUCUGGUUUUUCUCUUGGAGUAUCAAUUUAUUCUUGACAAUAUCAAUUAAUGGACCAUUUGACUGGGCAAACGAAUCUGUUGAAAGACAAAACUUAGGUUUAAGUUACACCAGUUGUGCAGAACUUAGUUUCUCUCGCUGGCUUUUUGUCUCUGAAAGGUACAUUAUAAAUUAAGUGCCUUUUUUUAACUUGUCCAACUUUUACGCAACUUUUUGACUGUCCUCAGCAUGGUUGAGCCAUUCUUUUGUAUAAACUACUUGGAUGGAUCCAUUAGUGGACUAUAUUGUCAGUUUCUGGAACUUAAGAAUGAAUGUUCUAAACAACAAUAUGAACCAAAAGUGUAUUAAUCUUUUAAGUUUUGCAUUUCUGGGAAUGCUUGUACCUAUGGAAAACGGUGUCUUCAUUAGACACGAGCAAAUGCACUAAUUUACUCGUAAAUAGUAAAUACCAGUUUAAGUUGCACAUGACAACUGAAAACUCAGAUCCUCUUGCAUAACAAUCCCAUGCCAAAUAUCUCAAAAGUGAUGGACGCUUCUCUCUUCUGAUGCAGAGGGAUUCUUCUUACUCGAGGCUUGGAUCAGCUAGGGAAAGCCCAAUGAUGACUCCAUCUGUUAACAAAGAAUGGACCCCAAGAAGUUACUAUAGACCUCCUGGAAACAAGGGUUAUUUCCCCUCUGAUCCUUCAGACCAAGGCAGCAGCCAACAUUAUAUGGCUGGAUCAAGUGCUUAUGCACCAGGUGGCCCAAGGGGUGAGAUGUCAUCAAUGGAUCCAUCUAGAACGACAACCUCCUCCAGGGACGAGGCUUCAGCCUCAAUAAGCAAUGCCAGUGACAUCGAGUCUGAGUGGGUGGAGCAAGAUGAACCAGGGGUAUAUAUUACUAUCAGACAAUUGGCAGAUGGAACCAGGGAGCUAAGGCGUGUAAGAUUCAGGUAAUCAAAUCAUCUGACUAUCUGCCUACAAUUGGCUAGAAAUUUUGAGUAAAUGCUAAAGAAAAACCAAGACUAGUUUAACAAUAUAAGAUUCUUGUCAGCAGCUUAUCAGGAGAUAAUAUUGUAUAGUGAUUGUCUUCUUCUAAAAUAUUGGCCCCCUCUUGACUGAAUUAAGUAGGAUGGUACUUGAAACGAGUUCAAGCUAGGAUUUAUGUACAGCGCCCUAACUUCAGGUUAUUCGUGUUUGCUUUUGUUCCUUCUUUCCAUUUGUUGUUGCCUGGAUCUUCAGGUCUGAACUAUUUGACAAAAUGUCCCUUGAUAGCAAUUUUUUCUGUGCUCUCUCUUUGCCAAAUGGAUUUGAAUAACUGCAGUGUCAAGCUCAAUAGAUGAUGCGUUAAUUAUUUCUGUAGGAAGAUAGUUUUUUGGUCACUAGUUGAGAAUUGCUUGAUCAUUAAUGCUAAAGGUUAGAUAUGUUUGUAAAUCGUCUCUCAUUUCCUUGUUCAAUUUUCUACAGCCGUGAGAAGUUCGGGGAAGUACAUGCAAAGCUCUGGUGGGAAUCCAACAGGGAUAGAAUACAAACUCAAUACCUCUAAAGGAAGUAGGCUUCUGGAUGGAGUUUACUGGGGAAAGCGAGUACUAACUAAGUUGCCUGAAAUUUGAAAAGAAAACAUUCCAAUAUUUUAGGCCGAUAUUCUGCCAACAAGCAUCUGGAAAUACCACCCCACCUGCCAGCCAAACUACAGUCAAGAUAGAAUGAUCAAAGAGGCUCAGUCCUGGUAAUGGGACAAUCAGACUCUUCUCAGAAUGUAGUAUUGCUUACUUGAAAUGGCUCCACCCCAUGGACAAAUGCUGUAAGCUAGCUUGGCAUGCCAUUUUUGUUACUAUUUAGUUAUCAGUGCCUACACCCUGAUCUCAAAUUCUUUCGAGCCUCGUCUUCCCUUAAAUUUUUUACCUUUUUAACAGCUCUGUUGUGGGGAUUAUUUGGCUCUUGACAAAAUUCCAUGCUUUUGCUCUGUAAGUCAGCUUUCUAGCAUGACAAGAGAAGUUGAAUCAAAAGCAUGUAAUGCUAGAACAUGCAUGCUGUUCAUAGUUCUUGUUUCAUUCUUGAUUAAUUUCUGACAUGAAAAAUCCUUCAAGUUCUGUGUUUGAUGCCCAUUUGUUUGCAUAUUUUUCAAGCAUAGCAUGCCAGGAUUAAAUUCCAGGAUUCAACAAGAUCGUGGGAAACCUCAGGAACUCUUGGAGCUAAUUGUUGUCACAAAGCUAUAUCACAUUAUCCAAAACCCCAGAUGCCACUCUGCUUCCCAUUCUACAAAAAUUAAACUAUUCACCUAACAUAUGAUAUUAACAGGUCAUUUUACCAAAUAAAAGUCACAAGCAUCUUGGGUUUGGGCUCUUAAUUGCAUUUUAUUACUAAAUUGAGCAGAUAAUUUCGAAAAUUUUCAAGUGACUCUUCAACCAACAACUCAACAAUAGUUUUUCAGAAGUGUAACUUGGAAUUUGGUUGAAUGCUUAUCUUUCUUUAUAUAGGCAUAGUACCAUUCUUAGUUGAUCUGCCAUAAAUGCUGUGGAGAUAUAACUAAAGUCUUCUCAAUCCUAAAGCUCAGAUGGCAACAUGUUUUCAGUGCUUCUUCAAGAUCCUGACUUCCACAUCUUUACAUCUUUUCUCCAAAGCUCAUUCCACAUCUCAGGUGGUUUUGAUAUCUCUUGCUCCAAAAGUAUCUGUCUAUAUGAACUUAAUGAAAAAUGUUCCAAGACAAUGCAACAUAACUGUUGCGACUUUAGAACGAUAACAAUAGAGCAUCCAAUCCAGAAGAGCUGAAUAACAUAGGGAUGUUUUUGGGAAUUAUUAAUAUCAUGCCCAAAAAAAAAACACACACACACAUUUACAUUUCAGGUCAAGGGUAGUGGACCAUCUCUCAUUGCCAAAUUAAGAAAAGUUCUAGAUUGCAUCAAGUUUCUCAGCAUUGCCUUCAAUAUGAAGAACCAUAAGACUGUCAAUUCUGAUAUAACGUACUACAGGAGGGGAAUGCAGUGGCCUCUGCAUUCAAAUCGAUCGAUCUUUGGAACAUCAAACACGAACUGUUUUAACAUUCUGUUUAAGUUCAACUAUGUGGUUUUGAGCAAGGGACAACAAAUUUGGAGUCCAUGCAAAUCAUAGCAAUGACUGAUCUUCAAAUGUUCAAAUAUGGAAACUUUGAUUUGGCGUAUUGUCAACUUGAUAUUCUGCAUCUGGCCAGCACAAGAACAGAAAAUUCCUCUAGGUUCUCGAUGCUGUUUACCGUUACCUUAUUCAAGAAGUUUGAGAUUGAUCUCGUGCGAUAUUAGCAUCAGAUCAUUGUGUCAGCCGUCAGGGACACGUCUGCAAUGGGCUUUAGAUUCAAGAAUCAGACGAGGCAUGCAGAGAUCAAGCCUUUAUUUUUCAGCCUUUUGCCCCUGCACACUUCGAUACUAAUCUAAUUUGGGAUGCUCUUUUGGGUGUUGGAAACGAAAGCAAAUGCAGCACGAUGGGUUCUGGCAAUUUUGAUGUGCCAUGUUCAAGGGCUUGUCCUCUUUCCAUGGAUGUACAAUAAAGCUCCGAAAGCAGAUUAACGCAAUUUCUGGAGGACGGAAAUUGGGAGUGAGUUCUCAGUGGGCAGAAUUUCAACUCUCUCUCUCUCUUAUUACCUUUUCACUUCAACAUAGAGCUGCAUAUGCUAAAUGACAUGCACAUUCACAGAGAGAGAAGGAAAAGCGACGAGAUUUGUUACUUAACAAUAAGCUCACAAUUGUACAAUCAAUAACCCAUCAAUAAAGGAACAGUAAUAUAUUUCUUUAUUCCAAGGUUUUGACAGAAUGCAACCAGCAGAGAAUGAACACACUGUACCUCAGAGGACCAAACGGCAACAAGAACUAAACACAGGACGGCAUUACAAAACCAGUACUGCAGUCAUAAUAGUUUUGUACCAUGUUCAUCAAACGGACGGUUGACUCUUUAUUUCAGCCCCCAAAUAAGACAAGACUUAAA